UUGUCGGUAAUUCAGGCUUUGGCAGUUCCGGAAGUGGCGGCAACUCAACUUUCGGCAGUGAUGGCAAUUCUGGCUUUGGCAAGCUCGGUAUGUCAGGAAGGUGCGGCAAUUCGGGCUUCGGCAGUCCGGGCACCUCGGGCAACGUCGCCUCCAAAAUUCGGCUAGCGCCAACCGAGUUCUUGCCGAUCAUCAAGGACAGAGCAAAGACAAACAAUGCCAAAAGAUGUGCAAGUCCACGAUCAUUCGCCAUCGCAGGACCGAUCGACUAGCAAAUUUAAAAACUUCGAGUGAAGAAGCGACGGAUCUCAAGUGAGGAGGUGCAGGUGUGCUUGAGCAAUGGCUUGAUGGAGGGUUUAUAAAGAGGAGGGACGUGGGGAUUGGGGAGAUUACAAGUAUGGUUUGGUGGGAUUUUGUCGAAGUGUUAGUUCGACUUCUAGACCAAUCUCAUUUCCGUUUGUUCAACAACAAGAUGGAGCAGAUGAUUCCAGAAAGGACCUUGCCAAUUAUUGGCUUUCAACGCUUGUAAACCAUCAGUCGUGCUGGUAUUAUAUAGCUUUUGUUUUGGUUUUCCUAUAAAUAGUUAAUUGGUAACCGUACUUCUAUCAUGAACUACGAUCAUUGUAAAUGAUAUCCUAAAAAUGACCAUCCCGACACACGCAAGCUGAUUUACAUAUGAAAUGAAAAAACUGAGACUAGGUAAAACUAUCUAGAACUAACGUCUUGAAAUAUCUUUUCCGCAAUCCAUCUCAUGUGAUGGAAUGAUAGCCAAGCUUGCAAGGUUUUUCAAUUAUUUGAUAAAUUUUAUACUAUGUUCUUUGACUAGUAGUACACGUGAUUGAUGAACGAAUUAAAGAUCAACAAAUAUUUGAUAACCAACGCAAUACAACCAGAGAAGUCUCAAAACAUAUCUCAAAUCUGAUAUAAUCGUAUGCUUUUAUGGAGCAGAAUAUAAAGUAUAUAUGUAUCUAUUGCGGACCGGUUUGAAAUUGGUCUACUAUCUUAUAAUGACAUUCGAAAAUUAAAUGAAAAACUUCUUUUCUUACCGAAAUUGAAUCUUGAGAAUUUUUCAAGGAAAGUAAAAAUAUAAAGAAAAAAACUCAAAAAGUUCUUUACCGGAAUACAUAUGUGAAAAGUAAGUCCAUUCAAUUUAACGAGAAAGAUUCUUUUCUUUUUCCAAAUAGAUUGAUAAGAUUUUUUGCGGAAAGUAACAAUUUAAAGGAAAGUAUCUUAAGUCUCAAUCUAAAUAUAUUUAGGUGAUAUUGUGUAGUAUUAUGUUUAGACAGAAGUCUUUUUAUUUUUUUCAAGGAAAUUUUGAGAGAGAAGAAUAUUAAAGAUUAACAUAUAUAUCAAAUAUUAUUUAAUGUAAUAAUGAAUGAGAAAAUGUCUAUGAUUAUUAAUUUAAGUAAAAUUGACUAUAUGAGCACGAUAAAUGAUGUGAUAUAUAAAAAAAAGUGUAAAUAUAUCUAUAUUUGAGAGAGAGAGAGAGAGGGAGGGAGAUUAACUUUUCACCCGAAUUAGAAGUUUGAGCUAAAUAGAUUGACAUUAUGCAAAAAAAUAUAUCAAGAAUAGAAAAAAAAAUGAUCUAUAAUGGCUAAGUUGUCUAUACAAUACAAUGUAUGCCAUGUUAUAGAAAACAUCGAUAAUAUUUAACGCAUAUCGAUACUAUAACAUAGAUCUUAAAAUUACUUCGGUUCAAUUCAAUACAAAAUGAAAUAAAAACAACUAUUAGAGUUAAUUUUACUUAAUUGAAGAAUGAUGAUUGCUUGAAACAUAAAAAAAUAGUUGUGUCAAAUUAAAAGGGAAAAUACUCUAUUAUAAAUUCAAGUUUAGUAAAUAAGAUGUUCAAUAAGUGGAUUUAUAAUUUAUAUGUAAGAUAAAUGAACCUAUAUCACUCGAUCAUAUAACAAACAUGUAAUUUUGCUGAUUUUUUUCUUCAAAUAUUUAAAUUCUAUGAUAAGUUAAAUGUGUAUAAAGUAGAUAAUGAGUUUUAGUAAACAUAAAUUUGAUAUAUUUUGAAAUAUAAAACACAUGAAGCAUAAGAAAGUGUACUAGUUUUUUAAGAAAGAGUAACUAUAGCAUACUCUGUCGACGUAAAAGAAGAGUUACACAAGAUAUCAUAAACUAUCAUACAAAUAAGUUCCAUAAUUCAUAUCACAAACUGUCAUACAAAUGACUAUAUAUAGCAUAUAACAUUCUGAGGUGAACACUGACCAUUACAAUAGAAGUAAUAGAAUACAAAUUCAUAUCAUAUUGAAUCCCGACUACAAGUUCACAUCACAACAGUUCAAGGACUAGUAGCAGCGACAGACAUGUCCUUCGGAACAGAAGGAAAUGUUGGCUUAGGGAAAUCGGGAAGGUGAGGCAAUUCAGGCACUUCUUGCAAUUCUGGCUUUGGUAAAGUUGGAAAUUCAAGCUUUGGAAGUUCAAGCACUUUUGGCAAUUCUGGCUUCGGUAUUGUUGGAAAUUCAGGCUUUGGUAGUUCGAGAAGUGGUGGCAAUUCGACUUUUGGCAGCGAUGGCAAUUCUGGUUUUGGCAGGCUUGGGAUGUCGGGAAGCUAAGGGCCUGUUUGGCAACGUGCCAAACAGUGCUAGAUUCUGAUUUUUUGUUCCCAUAAUCAGUUUGGGACGAGAAUCGCGUUUGGUAAAUUUUUUGUUCCCGGGAACAAUUUUGGACAAGAUUUGAGAAUUAAAAAAAAUUUGAUUCUCCGUCCGAGAAUCAGAAAAAGAAUCAAAACGGUGAAACCCUCGCUCUUCCCUUUCAUCAUCCUGGUUGCCGUCCAUCACCGCCCGCCACCGUCCGCCAUUACCCGCUGCCGCCGUCCGCCGCCGGUCGCCAGAGGCUCGCCAGGCCAGGGCGAGGUCCGGCGAGCUCGCCGGAGGCAAGCCUAGCCACCGGCGAGGUCGGCCUGGCCACCGGCGGGGCUGGGCGAGUCUUGCCGGCAGCUGGGCGAGGCUCGGCCUCGCUAGAUCUAGCAAGGCCGAGCCUUGGUGGGGCUGGGCGAGCCUCGCCUAGCUGCUAGCGAGGCUCGACCGACAAAGGCCAACCUUGCCGAGGGUCGGCGACCAGCCAUAUGAAGAAGAAGAAGAAGAAUAGGAAAAAAGGGGAAAAAAAAAAGGAAAAAAGUAAAAAGUAAAAAAAAUUAUUUGGAACAUAAUCAAUUAACACGGUAUUAAACGCAAUUCUAUUCCAGAAUAAAAAAAUUUGGACAGUUACCAAACGCGCUUUUUUACUCAGAAUCAGUUCCCGGGAACAGAAUAAAAAAUAAUCAUUUCUAGUCAGAAUCAGCUCCUGAGAACAGAAUCGUUACCAAACGCGCCCUAAGGCAAUUCUGGCUUCGAUAGUUCAAGCACUUCAGGCAAUGUCGUGUCCAAAAGUUGGCAACUCCAACGUGGUUCUGGCCGAUUGUCAAAGACAAAGCAAGGUUAGUGAGUCCGCAAUAGUUCGCCAUCGUGGAAUUGAGCGACUAGCAAACCAAUAAACCUUGAGUGAAGAAGCGGUGUGUUUGAGCAAUGGCUUGAUGGAGGGUUUUUAAAGAGGAGGGAUCUAAGUAGCACCGACAUAUGACACGGACACGCGACACGACACGACAUGACACGUUGACACGGCAUUUAUAAAAAAUAGAGAAUUUCAACACGUUGUGACAUGUUAUAUACUAAAUGAAUAUUUUUUAUUUUUAAUUAAUUUAAUUCAAAUUCAUAAAUAAAUAAUUAAUUAAAAAAAGAGUCUAUAAUGAAUUUACACUAAUAAUAUUAAUAAAUCAAUUCAUUAGAAAUUCGAAAGAUAUAAUCAUAGUUAAUGCGAAACAUGUUUUUGACUAUAACAAAAGUUAUUGAUGAAAUUAAUGACUAAUAAGAAAUUAGAAUCAAUUUAUUUAUAUAAAUCCACGAUUUUUUUACAAUGACCAAAAUUUAUCAUUAUUCAAAAUUCAAUACUUUUAUUUUUCGAAAUUAUUUUUUAAUCUCAUUUAUUUAAUUUUCCAAUUAAAAACAAAAAUCCCCAGAGGUCCACCCCUUCUUUCCCUCGUCCAUUUCCCUCGACCCGAAAUUUAUUUACUGUCGGGCACUCCACCACUCCUGCAAAACCACCUGGCAAAGAGGCUGUCACUUCCCUCCCCCCAAACUCAAAAAUCACGCCAUCAAUCCCCCCCCCCUCUAGCCACCCUCCUUUUCCUUCUCCUUCUCGCCGCUGGCCGCAUGACCCCCUCCCCUUCCUCUCCUCUUCCUCUCGAUCCUUCUCCUCCUCCUCUUUGCCGCACGACCACCUGCCUCUCUGCACGACCCCCUUCCUCUCCUCCUCCUCCUCCUCCUCCUCCUCGUUGCCGAUCCAUUGCAACAGUGGCGGCCCUCACUUCAGUUUUUGCUCUCUCUGACCGUCUCUUGCUGUUGCGGUGGUCCGUUGUGUGGCUUUGUCUCACUAGCAGGAGUUUGCUUUCUCUGUCUUCUUUCCCUCCAUCGUCUUCUGGACACACGUGUCGAAAUGUGUCGAGAAACGUUGACCACGUGUCCGACCGUGACACGCUCCGACACGUGUCGGACAUGACACGGAAGCAUGGGCAACGUGUCCAUGCCUCAUAGGGAGGGACAUGGGGAUUGGGGAUUGGGGACAUUACAAGUAUGUUUUGGUGGGAAAAAUAAUCUAAUUGUUGGUUCAACUUCUAAACCAAUCUCAUUUUCUUUUGUUCAACACAAGAUGGAGAAGACUCCAAAAAGGUAUCUUGCCACUUCUGGGCUUUCUAAGCCUGUAACUAUCAGCUGUGCAAGAUUUCUCAGCUACGCCGGAAAAAGAAACGAAAGGAGAUGGUUUAUGAUAUCACUCUAUGUACUAGGACGUAGUCCGGAGUUUUGGUUGAAGAAGUCAAUAAUUUAAGGAUAAAAAUCUAAGUUUUGUCAGCGAUCAUUGUACACGAAAUGUAUGCUUAUCUUAAACUUGUCUAAAUUUAUUAAGUGCAUUAAAUAAAUUCAUUAACCUUCUCUUCAGUUUUCCAUUCCCUUUCUCUAUUAUAUCCAUUCACGUGCACUCAAUACUUUCCAAUUUCAAUUUCUAUGUAUCCAUUUGCAUGCUAGAGUUAAGGAUGAUGGUCACUUACAUUCAAUUUUUUUUUUUGGGUAUGGCUGGCCUUUUUUUCACCUAUAAGAGGGUAGAAUAUUUCUUAUUCUGGUCUUUAUUUGCAUUUCAUCUCCUUUUUUUCUCCCCAGAAAUGGAUCUUAGUUGCAAAAUUAAUUCAUGAGAAAUCGAUUUUUCUUUUUCUAAUUUAAUCUUGACUUGCUAUUGAAUGGAUAAUCGGUUAUCAUCACUCCCAAUUAGAUUAGAAAAAAUGACUACAUCUCAAUAUAUCAAUUUACAUCCGAACUGUAAAAAAUAAGACUCGGCAAUAAUCUAUUUCUUAUGUAUGGAUCAUCUUUCUUACCGGUAUCUCGAAAAGCAAAUGAAUUUUUUUUUUUUUGGCAUAAACAUUUUUGUUGAGUGUCUUAAAAAAUUAACUACAUUUAAAAAUGCAGCAAACAUACAAAGAGAUAAGAGGAAUGGUGAGGGAUUUUGAUUUCACGUGAAUUAGCAAAAACGAUUGAGCACUUAUGAGCUGAAACUUUCUUCUAUGCAAUCCAUCUUAAAUGACAAUAUAAUAGCCAACCUGGCAAGGUUUUUUUUUUAAAACUAUUUAUGAAUUUUAUAUUAUGCUUUCCAGAUAGUAGUGUACGUAAUUGAUGAACAAACAAAAGAUCAAACAAAUAUUUAAUAACCGACUUAAUACUACCAUAGAAGUUUCAACACAUAUCACAAAUAUGAUAUAACCAUAUUCUUGCAUGUGGUAGCUUAUUAACUAUAAAUGUAUCUACAACACACGGGUUUGAAAACUAGUCUAAUAUAUAAUAGGGGCUUCUGAACAUUAAAUGCAUUCAAUUUAAUGAGAAACAUUCUUUUCUUAUCCAAAUUGAAGUUUUAGAUUUUCUUUUUUUCACUUGAAAUAGAAUUAGUCGCAGAAAAGAGUGGGAAUAUGCGAAACAAGAUCCAAGAAUAGAAAAAAAAAUGAUUUAAUAACAGUAAAGUUGAGUAUGAUCUGCAUUAUAUAUUAUUUGAUAGAAAAAGUACAUAAUGACUAACAUGCAUCAAUACCAUAACAUAUAGCGAAAAAUUACUUUGGUUUAAUCAGAUACAAAAUUUAGUAAAGUACAAAUAUUAGAGUUGAUUUUGCUUGACUAAAGAAUGAUGAUUGCUUAAAAUGACAAUAUUUGUGCCAAAUUAAAAGGAAAAAUAAUCUACGAUAAUUCAAUUUUAAUAAAAUAUGAUAUAUAAGAUGUUUGAUGACUUAAAGUGUAUUUAUAAUUUGUAUGUAAGACAAAUGAACCUAUCUCAGUCCAUCAUAUAAUAAAAGAUGCAUUUUUUCUGAUUUUUUCUUCAAUUGUUUAGAUUAUGUCACCGUUAUCACUCUAAAAUAUUAAAUUCCCAUAUAAGUUAGAAGUGAAAAAAGUGGACAAGGAAGUAACAUAGAUAUCUUCUAUUUUGAAAUAUAAAACUCGUACAAAACAUAGGGGAGUGCACUAGCUAUAUUAAAUAAGAGUAAUAAUAGUAUACACUAUUGAUGUAAAAAAAUAGUUACACAAGACAUCACAAACUGUGAAGGAGUUCCAUAAUUCAUAUCACUAAAACAAACAAGUAUUGUAUAGUGUUCUGAGGUAUGCUCAGACCAUUAAAAUAGAAGUAAUAAAAUACUGAAUCGCAUCAUGUUGUAUAACGACUCCAAAUUCACAUUAAUGGCUCAAGGGCUAGUAGCAGAGACGGCUGUGUCCUUGGGAAUCGUGGGAACGAAAGGCAAUGUUGGCUUGGGAAAAUUAGGAAGAUGAGGCACUUCGGGCACUACCGGCAAUUCCGGCUUUGGUAUUGUUGGAAUUUCGGGCUUUGGUAGCUCACGAAGCGGUGGCAAUUCGACUUUCGGCAGUGAUGGGAAUUCUGUCUUUGGCAAGCUAGGGAUGUCAGGAAGUUGAGGCAAUUCAGGCUUCGGCAAUUCCGGCACUUCUAACGACUCUGGCUUCGGUGUUGCUGGAAAUUCAGGCUUUGGUAGUUCAGGAAGCGGUGGCAAUUCGACUUUCGGCAAUGAUGGGAAUUCUGGCUUUGGCAAGCUAGGGAUGUCAGGAAGGUGAGGCAAUUCAGGCUUCGGUAGUUCGGGCACUUCGGGCAAGGUCGCCUCCAAAAGUUGGCGGGCUCUGACUGGGUUCUCACCAAUCGUCAAAGACAGAGCGAGGACAAACAAUGCCAAAAGGUGCGUGAGUCCAUGAUGGUUCGUCAUUGGAGAAUCAAUCGACUAGCAAAUUCAAAAGCUUUGAGUGAAGAAGCGGCGAAUCUCGAGUGAGAGAAUCUGCAGGUGUGCUUGAGCAAUGGCUUGAUGGAGGGCUUAUAAGGAGGAGAGACGUGGAGGAUUGGGGAGAAUGCAAGUAUGGUUUGGUGGGAAUAUUAUCAAAGGGUUAGGUCAACUUCUAAACCAAUCUCAUUUUUGUACGUUCAACAGCAAGAUGGAGCAUAUUAUUCCAAAAGGAGCUUGCCAAUUCUUGGCUUUUCAGGCUUCUGACUACCUGUCGAGGCCAGAAAGAGGGAGAAAAAAAGAAAAGAAAUGGUUUAUGAUCUCACUAUGUACAACAGGACCGGAGUCUUGGAGUCUUAAAAUAUUGGAAAAGCUAAUCAUGUAAGAGCAAAAUAAUAAAUAUUGUCCGUGAUAAUUAUUCGUGGAAUCUUUACUUGAUGUAAGGAUUACUCAAGUGUUAAGCAUGUAUGUUUUCGUCUGAGGCCUAGGUUCGAAUCCUCACAAUUGUGCAUUCUUUUGGACGAUCUUUGAGAACAUAGGUAUGUAUGAAUCCGAUUAUUUCUCAUUUGUGUCGGAUAAAACUACUCUUGCCGGAAAAAAAACAAAACUUUAGGUGACAAAUUUUUAGGGACAGACAUAAAAAGAGAUCCUUAAACAGAGUUUCUAGUUAGGGGUGAGUAGUUCUAAGGUUGGUUUAGGUUUCCACUUAACCAGAACUUGGAAUUUACCCUAUUGAGAUCGGUUUCCCAAUUUUUGAAACUUAAAACCUAUCAUGUAUAUCUUAAAAUUUAUGACCUGCUCUAUCAAUCGAAUCUAAAGUCUAUUAGGGAACCGGCCGAUUUCUCUUCUUCUUCUUCUUUUUUUCAUUUUUUCUUCAUUUUUCUUGUUUCAUUUUAGUCAAGCAAUAGAGAGAACAUGACAACAAAAAUCAUCAUUUGUCAAUAACAAUAAUCUAUAAAAUAUUAGCACCUAAAAUAAAAUAAACAAUAAAAUGUUGAAAACGCAUAAUGUAGAAUCCAAAUUUCAUGCUCUCAAAGGAGUCAAAAACCACGAUAAAAACCAAGGAGUCGAAUGAAGGAACUUUCUUUUUAUUUGAGCCUCGUGUAAGUUCAUGCCAUGCUCUAUUUUAGGAGUACCUUGGUUCUUGUUCUAGUUCUCUGAUUUUCAGUCUGAUUCGCUGAUUCUUAGUUCAAUUCUAUUCAAUUCUUAAGAAUCGCAUAAUACAAGUUCCAAAAAAUAUGAAACCGAAAGCUAUGCUUGUUAGAACCUAGAGAUAGGCCGAUUCCCAUGACCUGUUUGAUCUUUCUUGAUUAUACUUGGAAAAUUUGCUCACCCUCAACUUCUUGUUCCGUCCCUACGGAAAUAUUGAACGAGCCAUCGUUAAUGGUAAUAGUGUAAAUGAUUCAGUUUGGUUCGGUUUUUUCGGAAAACCCAACCAAACCGAACCGAUAAAGAAAUUUAUUGAAUCGAACUGAAAUUACAUCCAAAUCGAAACCGAAUCGAAUCGAAAUCUUGAUUCAAUUUAGUUCAAUUUUUACUUUUUUUUUUGUUUUUCUUUUCCCUACCCCUUUUAAUAAAUUUUUUAUAUUUUAGAAAAAUCAAAUUUUUAAUUAUUUUUUUCUUUUUUUCUUCUUUUUUCCUUUUCUUUCUCUUCUUCAUUCGCUAGUCACUAACUGCCACCGUGGCUGGCAAUUAGCCAAUGAAGAAGAAGAAAAAGAAAAAAGAAAAAAAAUAAAAAUAAACAAUUUAAAAAAAUAAAAUGAAAUAUUUUAGAUUUUAUUGGUUUGGUUCAAUUAACCAAACUGAUAAAAACUGAACUAGUUAAAAAAAUUUCGAUUUUUAAUGAAAAUCGAAUAGAUUGAGAAUCAAACCGAAAAAAAAAAAAAAUCGACAUUUUCGGUUUGGUUCGGUUUUUGACACCCAAGUGAAUGGGCUAGGGGAUAAAUCUAACAUGAAAACUUCAAGUGAAAUCCCAACCUGAAAUAAGAGAAGCGAAGCCCGUCGCAAAAAGAGAAGCCCACCUCCCACUUGAUUUUCUCCCGGCCUCUUCCUCUCCCUUUCCACCCUGCAAAAAGCUCAGCUCGAGUUUCUAUCGGUGUCUCCUUCGCACUCCAGCUGCAGCUCGUCGAUCUCGCGGACGAGAGCUUCUUCAGAUCCGGAUUCCCCGUCGGCUUUCUCCUUCACGGUCUCCGCAGGUCACUUUUCCCUCUCUCUCUCUCUCUCUCUCUCGCGCGCGCGCAUUUCUCUGGCCAAUGUGGGGAGACGAUUCGCGAAGCGGUCGACUGGGGCGGAUGUUUGGAUCGUGGGUUGUGGGAGUUACCGGGUCGGGUCCUUCGUUUCCCCUUAUCUUCUCACUUUUGGGGGGCAUAGCUCAUCUGGGUUGCUCUUGCCAACGAACUAACCCGGCGUGGUUGUAGGCGGUGCCGUGUCUUGUGAGUGCUUGCCCACCUUGUGUUCGCCAUAAUGUUUCACUGGAUUUAUGUAGAGGAGGAGGGUUUUCCAGACUCCUAUUUGCUUCUCUAAUUAUACAUUUUCACGCUUAGUAUUAGGUGAAAAUACCAUACUAAGCAUGACAUGAAAUGUUAGAAUAAUUAAUUAACUUAAUUUUUUAGAACAGUAGUUGAUAUUAGUCCCACAUAAUCUCACUGAACGAGAGAGAGAGAGAGUAAAAGCAGAGACGACCCCACACAACAUACCUACUUUGGCUGCCCAUCAUAAAUUAGAACGUUAACUGACAUGUUCUCGGCGGAGGCAUGGUGGCGAUGAGGUACUGAUGCUGAACUCCACUUCAAUGCCAAUGCCAAUCUGGGUUUUUUCUUCUUUUGUUCGUCUGCAUUAGCUCUUUCACAAGUGCUUGGAACUUCAUCAAUAACCAAUGAAACGCUACCACAGAAGUUUCUGACACCAUAUCUCAAAUAUGAUGCGAUCCUCAUCCCUUAUAUGUAGUGGAAUUUUAAGUACAGAUGUAUCUAUAUUAACACAGGUUUGAAAACUAGUCUGAUAUAUUCCGACCAAAAUGAGAAAAAAAAAACUUGUCCGAUAUAUCAUCAGCCUUUUGAACGUUACAUGCAUUCAAUCUAAUGAGAAAGAUUCUUGUCUUUUGCAAAUAGAAUGAUUAGGUAAUUUCAAGAAAAGUAGAGAAUUUAAAGGAAAGUCUUUGAGAAUCUCAAUCUAAUUACCAAUAUUUAGAUGAUAUUGUUUAUGACUUUGUGUAGUAAAGUAGAACAUGUAUAGAGAGAAGUCAAUAUACUUUUUCAAGUUAAAAGAAAUAAAAAUAGUUUAUGAUAUAUUCAACUAUCGUAAAAAUAUGAACUAUAAAUAUAUAUAGUGAAUUUAAAAUUUAAUAUAUGACAAAUGAUCAUACACUAUUCGAUUGUAUAAUAAACAGCACAUUUUACAUUUUUGUUGAUAUUCUUUUUCACAAUUUAAAUUCCAUGACUAUUGUCAUUCUUAUAACUCUAAAACUAUGAAAAGUUUUCAUAUAAGUUGGAUGUGAAAAGAAGUAGACAAGGAGUUUUAGCAAACAUAAAUUUCAAUAUUUUUGAAAGUAUAAAACUCAAGCAACGCAUGGACAAGUGCACUAGGUAUAUAAACAAAUUACAGUAUACUCUCUCCGUGUAAAUGAAGAAGUUACGCAAAGCAUCACUAACUGCCGUAAUAACGAUUUCCGUUAAGUCAUGUCACAAACCGUAAUACAUAUAAGUACACAUGGCAUAUACCAUUCCAAGGCAUGAUUAGACCGUUAAAAUAGAAGUAAUAAGAUACUAAAUCGCAGCAUAUUCUAUCACGACUCCAAAUCCACAUCAUUGCGGUUCAAGACUACGGGUCUGCAUGGUAACCUUCCACAGCCCAAAAAUUUAUAUUCUUCUCUUCCCCAGAACAAAAAAAGAAUAGAAACCCGUUUGAUAACAACAAGUUAAUUUUUUGUUCCCGGGAACAAAAUGUUAGCCCGGGAAUGGUUUUGGAAUAGAAAUGAGAAGUAAAAAAAAAGUUGCUUCUUGUUCCCGGGAACAAGUUUAAGAAAUAAGUGAAUUUUUUUUUUCUUUUAUUCUUCUCUUGCUAACCGCCAUUGACCACCGUUGACCACCACCCGCCGUUGUUCGCCGCUGCCGGCCGACCGCCGCCCGCCGCCGGCCGACCGCCGGCCGACCGCCGACCAACCGCCGGCCGCCUCCGCCGCCGCCGCCGGUCGCCGGAGGCCGAUCGACCGUCGCCGGUCACUACUGGACGCCGCCGCCACCGCCGGCUGCUGCCGGUCGCCGGAGGCCGACCGACCGUCGCCACCGCCGGUCGCCGCCGCCACCGCCGGUCGCCGACCGACCGUCGCCGCUGGUCAACCCCGGACGCCACCGGUCGCCGACCGACCGUCGCCGCCGGCCGACCGUUGCCGCGGCCACCGCCGGUCGCCGGAGGCCGACCGACCGCCGCCGUCGGUCGACCGCGAUCGCCGCCGAACGCCGCCGCCGCCGCACGUCUCCGCCGGCCGAGCGCCGCCGGCCGACCGACGGUCGGCGGCGGCCGAUGGGCCGUGCGGUAGCGAUUGGCGGCGAGAGUCGGCCGGCGGCGCUCGGCCGGCGGCGACGUGCGGCGGCGGCAGCGUCCGGCGGUGGCCAUGGUAUACCGGAAAAAAUAAAACACAAAUAAAUAUAAAAAAUAAACUGUUUUUUACCAAACGCAUUUCUAUUCUUUUUCUAUUUCUAGAGUAAAAAUUUUGUGUAGUUAUCAAACGGGUUUUUUUACCUAGAAAUUGUUCUCCAGAAUAGAAAUAAAAAAGAACUAUUUCUGAAAAAAAAUUGUUCCCCAGCCAAGAAAUGUUCUCAUGCGCACCCAUAGACAUGUCCUUCAGAAAGAAAGGCAACGUUGGCUUGGGGAAAUCGGGGAGAUGAGGCAAUUUGGGCAAUGCUGGCAAUUCCAGCUUGGGUUUUGUUGGUAUUUCAGGCUUUGGCAGUUUUGGAAAUAGCAGUAAUUCGACUAUUGGCGGUGAUGGCAAUUUCGGUUUUGGCAGGUUUGGGAUGUCGGGAAGGUGAGGCAAUUCGGACUUCAGAAGUUCAGGUACCUUAGGCAACACUGCCUCCAAAAUUCGGCGAGCUUCAACGGAGUUCUCGCCAAUCGUCAAUGACAAAGCAAGGACAAAUAAUGCCAAAAGAUGCGAGAGCCCACAGUAGUUCGCCAUCAUAGAACCAAUAUACUAGCAAAUUGAAAAACUUGUGAAGAAGUGGUUGAUCAAGUGUAAAGGUGCAGGUGUGUUCGAGCAAUGGCUUGAUGGAGGGUUUUUAAAGAGGAGGGACGUGGGGAUUGGGGAGAUUGCAAGUAUGUUUUGGAGGGAAAAUUAUUGAAGUGUUCGUUGAACUUCCAAACCAAUCUCAAUCUCUUUUAUUCAACAACAAGAUGGAGCAGAUAAUUCCAAAAAGGAUCUUUAUAUUCUUGGCUUUUUUAAGCUUGUAAGUGCGAGUUGUUUUGGACUUCCUAGCUAGGCGGGAAAGACAAAAGAAAGGAAAUGAUUUAUGAUCUCACUCUAUGUACAAGAGGACGAAGUCCAUAGCUUUGCUCAGAGAAGUCAACAAUGUUAACAGUAAAAUCUAAGUUUUGCCAGUGAUAAUUAUACAUGAAAAAUAUUCUUGAUGCAAGGAUUGCUCGAGUGGUAGGAAUAUUACUUCUCUUUCUCUGAUAAUUUCAUAAACUUGUGUAUCUGGUAAUUUCUUGAUAUGCGUGGGACAAGGCAGCAACCACUUAACACCAUUUUGGGCCUCAAUAGAGAAGCUUAUGGUCAAGUUGAGGGUAAGGCCACCAACUUUGGAGGGAGUUGGUGGCGUACAAGCCGACUUCGGAGGAGAUGUUAAUUGCUUCUUGAGAAAGUGAGGGUUUAAGAUCCACGAAAUUGCGAAGUUAAGAAGGAGAAGACUAAGCGGUACGGGAAAUUGAAGAACUGCCAACCUCCGAUGAAACUAAAGAUUGAAUGAAACAAUUCAAUUGGGUAAUUGAAGGACUCUCAGUAGAGAGCACCAAGGACAUCAAUCAAUUGGAUGGGGGAGAAUAUCACGGACCGGAGGUUCUCAGGUGCGAUAGGCUGAGGAGGUGGCAAUGUGACCGGGCGUGCCUUAGAUUUAGAGAAGCCCCGUCAUUAAUGGAGGUAUGUGGUAAAUGAAGAGAUAUAUAAAUUUUUUGUAUAUCUCCACUUUUUUCAUCCUAGGAAGAAUAGGUAUUCAUUACUAUGGUCUUUAUGUGUAUUUAAUUCUCUCUUUUCCUCUUCCCCUCAAAAAGAGCGGUCCAAGGGUCACAAUCAAUUCGGGAGAAAUUAGUUUUUCUUUUCUUUAUUUGAUCUUGACUUGCAGUUGGAUGAAUAUUUGGUUAUUAUCCUUCUAAAUAAUAUGCUGAAUAUUACUACAUCUCAAUAAAUAUACACGCUGAUUCACAAUGAAAAAAAAAAAAGAAUUGGUGAGAAUCUAUUCCUUAUUUAUGGAUCAUCCUUCUUAUCAGUAUCUAGGAAAGCAAUUGAUUUUUUUUUUUGACAGAUACUUUUUUUAUUAAUUCAAAUUCAAAUUUGUUAAGUGACAAGUUAACUAUACUUCAAAAUUUGGCAGAAAUACAUCGAGACAAAUAAAAAAUUGGUGAGGGAUUCUUUAUUUAUAAGAAGUAGCAAAACUGAUUUAGAGCUUAUGUCCUGAAAUUAUCUUUUGUGAUCUGUCUCAUCUUAUAACAUAAUGGUCAAGCUCGCAAGGUUUUUCACCGUUGGGGUAUUUGUGUCACCGUAGGCUUAUACAAGAUUUUUUAUAAUAUUAAUCUUAUGGAAAAAUAUAUAUAUAUAUAUAUAUAUAUAUAUAUGUAUCUAUUUUUUUACAAUAAGGAAAGAAAUCGACUUUUUUGCUUGAAAUAGAAAGUGUAACAAAAUAGACUGAUGAUAUACGAAAAUGUCAAUAUUAUGAAAAACUCUAAACUGAUACAUUUGUGACAAAUUUAUUUCUAUCUAAUUAUUUGACUACAAAAAACUCCAAACCGGUACACUUGUGACAAAUUUACCUAAAAUUAUUAUUUUAUUUUUUGUAAAGGGUAAGAAACCUAAAAUUAAUUUUUUGACCAUGAAAACAUUUAAAUUGGUACACCUAAAAUAAAUUUACCAAAAACUAAUUUGUUUGACCACCAAAAACCUCAAAGUGAUAUACCCCUAACAAAUUUACCCAAACUAAUUUUUUGACCACUAAAAAACCCCAAAGUGGUAUAUUUAGACAAAUUUCUUCUAUGUUAGCUUCUGUUAAACUGGAUUAACACCAUGAAAAACCGCAAACUAAAACAAACAGGGGGUAAAAUCCCAAACUAAUAUUUCUUUUCAAAUGUCACUUAUCAUCUAACUUAGUACUUUAACAGUAAAAUUUAAAAUAAAAUAAUGGAGGGUAAAUUUGUUAUAAGUAUAUUAGUUAUGGUUUUAGUUUGGGAUAAAUUUAUUACAUGUGUACUAGUUUGGGGUUUUUGGUGAUCAAAAAUUUAAUUAAGGAUAAAUUUAUCAUAAGUGUAUCAGUUUAGUGUUUUUAAUGUACCAGUUUGGAGUUUCUAUUUUUGAGAAUAGGAAAAUAGCAACAAAAAAAAAAGAUCUAUCAAUAAAAUUGACUAUAUCAUAUACAAUAUAUUAUGUGAUAGGGAACAUGUACAUAUUAAUUAACACCUGUCAAUCUUUAAUAUAUAGCGUAUAAUUACUUUGGUUCAAUCCAAUAUGAAUUGCAGUGAAUAUUUUUUUUUUUUUACUUAAUUAAAGAAUGAUGAUUGGUUGGAAAAUGACAAAAUAGUUGUGUCAAUUUUAGGAAAUAUAUAUAUAACCCAUGAUGAAUUCAUUUUAAGUAUACAUAUAAGACAAACAAACCUCUAUUGUCAUGAAGGGUUGAUACCUUGAAAAAUCUCAAACUAGUACACAUGUGAUAAAUUUAUCUUAAACUAAUUUUUUGACCAUGAAAAACCUCAAAUUGGUACACUCGUGAUAAAUUUACCUCGACUAAUCAUAAAAAAAAAUCUCAAACUAGUACAUUUGUGACAAAUUUAUCCCAAACUAAUUUAUUUGAUCGCCAAAAAACCCAAAUCGGUACAUUUUUGACAAAUAUACCCUCCAUUAAAUUAGAUUAAUAUCACAAAAAAUCACAAAAAUUGUAUUACGGUAACAAAUGGAGAAUAAAAUAUCAAAUUGGUACAUCAGUAAAUUGCCGCAUGUCAUUCAAUUUAGUAAUUUGAUAGUAAAAUUUAACGGAAACAAAUAGACAAUAAAUUUAUUACAAAAAAUUAGUUUUGGGUAAAUUUGUCAAGAGUGUAUCAGUUUGGGAUUUUUCAGGAUAUUAACCCAAUAAUGAAUGACGCAUUUUAUUUUUCUUGAUUUUUUCUUUGAUUAUUUGAAUUUCAUAAGUAUUGUCAUUACUAGAACUCAUAUAAAUUACAUUUUCAUAUUAGUUAUAUGUGAAACAAGAUAAGGAGUUUCAGCAAACAUGAGUUUCAACAAAUUUAGAAAUAUAGAACUCAUGUGAAGCAUGCUCGAGUGCACUAGGUAUUUAAGAAAGAGUAAUUAUAGCAACUCCGUCGGAUGUAAUAGUUUAGUUACUCAAGAUAUCACAAAUUGUCCCACAAAUAAGUUUCAUAAUUGUCCCACAAAUAUGUUCCAUAAUUCAUAUAACACUAUCAUACAAAAUAUACUGUUCCGAGGCAUGCUCAGACCAUCAAAGUAGACGUAAUAAAAUAUUAAAUCACAGCAUGUUGCAUCACGACUCCAAAUUCACAUCACAACGGUUCAAGGAUUAGUAGCAGCCGCAGGCAUGUCCUUCGCAACGAAAGGCAAAGUUGGCUUAGGGAAAUCGGGGAGAUGAGGCAAUUCGGGCACUUCCGGCAAUUCCGGCUUCGGUAUUGUUGGUAAUUCAGGCUUUGGCAGUUCCGGAAGUGGCGGCAAUUCAACUUUUGGCAGUGAUGGCAAUUCUGGCUUUGGCAGGCUUGGGAUGUCGGGAAGGUGUGGCAAUCCGGGCUUCGGCAGUUCGGGCACCUCGGGCAACGUCUCCUCCAAAAUUCGGCUAGCUCCAACCGAGUUCUCGCCGGUCAUCAAGGACAAAGCAAAGACAAACAAUGCCAAAAGAUGCACAAGUCCGCGAUAGUUCGCCAUCGCAGGACCGAUCGACAAGCAAAUUUAAAAACUUCAAGUGAAGAAUCGAUGGAUCUCAAAUGAGGAGGUGCAGGUGUGCUUGAGCAAUGGCUUGAUGGAGGGUUUAUAAAGAGGAGGGACGUGGGGAUUAGGGAGAUUACAAGUAUGGUUUGGUGGGACUUUGUCGAAGUGUUAGUUCAACUUCUAGACCAAUCUCAUUUUCGUAUGUUCAACAACAACAUGGAGCAGAUAAUUCCAGAAAGGACCUUGCCAAUUAUUGGCUUUCAACGCUUGUAACCAUCAGUCGUGCUGGUAUUAUAGCUUUUGUUUUGGUUUUCCUAUAAAUCGUUAAUUGGUAACCGUACUACAAUCAUGAACUACGAUCAUUGUAAAUGAUAUCCUAAAAAUGACCAUCCCGAUACACGCACAUAUAUAUAGCUGAUUUACAUAUGAAAUUAAAAACUGAGACUAGGUAAAACUAUCUAACGUCUUGAAAUAUCUUUUCCGCAAUUCAUCUCAUGUGAUGGAAUGAUAGCCAAGCUUGCAAGGUUUUUCAAUUAUUUGAUAAAUUUAAGACUAUGUUCUUUGACUAGUAGUACACGUGAUUGAUGAACGAAUAAAAGAUCAUCAAAUAUUUGAUAACCAACGCAAUACUACCAUAGAAGUCUCAAAACAUAUCUCAAAUAUGAUGUAAUCGUAUGCUUUUAUGGAGCAGAAUAUAAAGUAUAUAUGUAUCUAUUACGGACCAGUUUGAAAUUGGUCUACUAUAUUAUAAUGACAUUCGAAAAUUAAAUGAAAAACUACUUUUCUUACCGAAAUUGAAUCUUGAGAAUUUUUCAAGGAAACUAAAAAUAUAAAGAAAAUACUCAAAAAAUUCUUAACCGGAAUACAUAUGUGAAAAGUAAGUCCAUUCAAUUUAACGAGAAAGACUCUUUUCUUUUCCAAAUAGAUUGAUAAGACUUUUUGCGGAAAAUAACAAUUUAAAGGAAAGUAUCUUAAGUCUCAAUCUAAAUAUAUUUAGGUGAUACUGUGUAGUAUUACAUAUAGAAAGAAGUCUUUUUAUUUUUUUCAAGGAAAUUUUGAGAGAGAAGAUUAUUAAAGAUUAACAUGUAUAUCAAAUAUUAUAUAAUGUAAUAAGUAUUGAAAUUAACUUCAUGGGAAUGAGAAAAUGUUUUGAUUAUUAAUUUAAGUAAAAUUGACUCUAUGAGACUCGAUAUGUGAUGUGGUAUAAAAAAGAAAAAAAAUGUAAAUAUAUCUAUAUUUGAGAGAGAGAGAGAGAGAGAGAUAAACUUUUCACUCGAAUUAGAAGUUGGAGCUAAAUAGAUUGACAUUAGGCGAAACAAUAUAUCAAGAAUAGAAAAAAAAAAUGAUCUAUAACGGCAAAGUUGUCUAUACAAUACAAUGUAUGCCAUGUUAUAGAAAACAUCGAUAAUAUUUAACAUAUAUCGAUACUAUAACAUAGAGCUUAAAAUUACUUCAAUUCAAUUCAAUACAAAAUGAAAUAAAAACAAACAUCAGAGUUGAUAUUACUUAAUUGAAGAAUGAUGAUUGCUUGAAACAUGAAAAAAUAGUUGUGUCAAAUUAAAAGGGAAAAUACUCUAUGAUAAAUUCAAGGGAAAAUUCCAAAAAGGUACCCGAAAUACCCUAUUUUUUUCAAAUAAGAGCCUAAAGUGAAUCUUAUUUCAAAUAAGGACUGAAGUGCAUUUGUUUUCUCAAAUAAGGGUUUAAAGUGGAUGUUAUUUCAAAUGAGGACCUAAAGUAAUUAUGUUUAUUUCAAAUAAGAGCAUGAAGUGGCUAUAUCCGUUUGAAAUAAGAACCCGUCUUUCUAGCGAUCAAUGGUAUUUUCGUCAUUUGUCAUUUGUCCAUUUUUUUUUUUUUUUUUUCCAUUUUUUUGACUAGCUCUUGUUCCUCUUCGCCAAUGGCCAGCCGGCCAUUGGCAAUGCCCACAAAGGGCUGAGCAAGAGAGUGAGGGUCACCACACUCAAGCAAGGCUGUCCGUCACUUGUGGGCAGGGUGGGUGGCCCUUGCUGGUGGGGGCGACCCUCGCUUAGCCCUUUGUGGGCAUCACUGGCAAAAAGGAAGAAGAAUAACCAAAAGAAAAAAAGGAAAGAAAAAAAAAGUGAAAUGCAAAAUGACAAAAAUACCCUUGGCUGGUUGGAAAAUUUAGCCACUCAGCGAUCGGCGAGAUCAGGUCUUUAUUUGAAACAACCAAAGCCACUUCAGGCCCUUAUUUGAAACAACUAAGGCUACUUUAGGUUCUUAUUUGAAACAAAAUCCAUUCCGGGCCCUCAUUUGAGAAAACAAUAACACUUCGGGUCUUUUUUUGAAAUUUUCCCUAAAUUCAAUUGAAGUAAAUAAGAUGUUCAAUAAGUGGAUUUAUAAUUUAUAUGUAAGAUAAAUGAACCUAUAUCACUCGAUCCUAUAACAAACAUGUAAUUUUGCUUAUUUUUCCUUCAAAUAUUUAAAUUCUAUGAUAAGUUAAAUGUGUAUAAAGUAGAUAAUGAGUUUUAAUAAAUAUAAAUUUGAUAUAUUUUGAAAUAUAAAACACAUGAAGCAUCAGAAAGUGUACUAGUUGUUUAAGAAAGAGUAACUAUAGCAUACUCCGUCGGUGUAAAAGAAGAGUUACACAAGAUAUCAUAAACUAUCAUACGAAUAAGUUCCAUAAUUCAUAUCACAAACUGUCAUACAAACGACUAUAUAUGGCAUAUAACAUUCUGAGGUGAACACUGACCAUUACAAUAGAAGUAAUAGAAUACUAAUUCAUAUCAUAUCGAAUCCCGACUACAAGUUCACAUCACAACGGUUCAAGGACUAGUAGCAGCGAUAGACGUGUCCUUCGAAACGGCAGGCAAUGUUGGCUUAGGGAAAUCGGGAAGGUGAGGCAAUUCAGGCACUUCUGGCUUUGGUAAAGUUGGAAAUUCAAGCUUUGGAAGUUUGGGCACUUCCGGCAAUUCUGGCUUCGGUAUUGUUGGAAAUUCAGGCUUUGGCAGCUCGGGAAGUGGCGGCAAUUCGACUUUUGGCAGAGAUGGCAGUUCUGGUUUUGGCAGGCUUGGGAUAUCGGGAAGCUGAGGCAAUUCUGGCUUCGGCAGUUCAGGCACUUCAGGCAACGUCGCGUCCAAAAGUUGGCGAGCUCCAACGCGGUUCUGGCCGAUUGUCAAAGACAGAGCAAGGACAAACAAUGACAAAAGAUUAGUGAGUCUGCAAUAGUUCGCCAUCGUGGAAUUGAGCGACUAGCAAACCGAAAAACUUUGAGUGAAGAAGCGGUGUGUUUGAGCAAUGGCUUGAUGGAGGGUUUUUAAAGAGGAGGGACGUGGGGAUUGGGGAGAUUACAAGUAUGUUUUGGUGGGAAAAAUAAUCUAAGUGUUGGUUCAACUUCUAAACCAAUCUCAUUUUCUUUUGUUCAACAACAAGAUGGAGAAGACUCCAAAAAGUUAUCUUGCCACUUCUGGGCUUUCUAAGUCUGUAACUAUCAGCUGUGCUAGAUUUCUCAGCUACGCGGGAAAAAGAAACGAAAGGAGAUGGUUCAUGAUUUCACUCUAUGUACAAUAGUAGGACGAAGUCCGGAGUUUUGGUUGAAGAAGUCAAUAAUUUAAGGAUAAAAAUCUAAGUUUUGUUAGCGAUCAUUGUACAUGAAAUGCAUACUCAUCUAAAACUUGUCUAAAUUUAUUAAGUGCAUUUAAUAAAUUCAUUAACCUUCUCUUAAGUUUUCCGUUCCCUUUCUCUAUUAUAUCCAUUCACGUGCACUCAAUACUUUUCAAUUUCAAUUUUUAUGUAUCCAUUUGCAUGCUAGAGUUAAGGACGAUGGUCACUUACAUUCAAUUUGUUUGUUUUUUUUUUUUUUUGGGGGUAUGCCUGGCCUUUUUUUCACCUAUAAGAGGGUAGAAUAUUUGUUAUUCUGGUCUUUAUGUGCAUUUCAUCUCCUUUUUUUCUCCUCAGAAAUGGGUCUUAGUUGCAAAAUUAAUUCAUCAGAAAUCGAUUUUUCUUUUUCCAAUUUGAUCUUGACUUGCUAUUGAAUGGAUAAUCGGUUAUCAUCACUCCCAAUUAGAUUAGAAAUAUGACUACAUCUCAAUAUAUCAAUUUACAUCCGAACUGUAAAAAAUGAGACUCGGCAAUAAUCUAUUUCUUAUGUAUGGAUCAUCUUUCUUACCGGUAUCUCGAAAAGCAAAUGAUUUUUUUUUUUGGCAUAAACAUUUUUGUUGAGUGUCUUAAAAAAUUAACUACAUUUAAAAAUGCAAAAAUACAAAGAGAUAAGAGGAAUGGUGAGGGAUUUUGAUUUCACAUGAAUUAGCAAAAACGAUUGAGAAUUUAUGAGCUGAAACUUAUUGAGAACUUAUGGGCUAAAACUUUCUUCUAUGCAAUCCAUCUUAAAUGACAAUAUAAUAGCCAACCUGGCAAGGCUUUUUUUUCUUUUUUAAACUAUUUAUGAAUUUUAUAUUAUGCUUUCCAGAUAGUAGUGUACGUAAUUGAUGAACAAACAAAAGAUCAAAAAAAUAUUUAAUAACCGACUUAAUACUACCAUAGAAGUUUCAACACAUAUCACAAAUAUGAUAUAACCAUAUUCUUGCAUGUGGUAGCUUAUUAACUAUAAAUGUAUCUAUAACACACGGGUUUGAAAACUAGUCUAAUAUAUAAUAGGGGCUUCUGAACAUUAAAUGCAUUCAAUUUAAUGAGAAACAUUCUUUUCUUAUCCAAAAUGAAGUUUUAGAUUUUUUUUUUCCCUUGACAUAGAAUUAGUCGCAGAAAAGAGUGGGAAUAUGCGAAACAAGAUCCAAGAAUAGAAAAAAAAAUGAUUUAAUAACAGUAAAGUUGACUAUGAUCUGCAUAAUAUAUUAUUUGAUAGAAAAAGUACAUAAUGACUAACAUGCAUCAACACCAUAACAUAUAGCGAAAUAUUACUUUGGUUUAAUCAGAUACAAAAUUUAGUAAAGUACAAAUAUUAGAGUUGAUUUUGCUUGACCAAAGAAUGACGAUUGCUUAAAAAUGACAAUAUUUGUGCCAAAUUAAAAGGAAAAAUAAUCUACGGUAGUUCAAUUUUAAUAAAGUAUGAUAUAUAAGAUGUUUGAUGACUUAAAGUGUAUUUAUAAUUUGUAUGUAAGACAAGUGUACCUAUCUCAAUCCAUCAUACAAUAAAAGACGCAUUUUUCUGAUUUUUUCUUCAAUUGUUUAGAUUAUGUCACCGUUAUCACUCUAAAAUUUUAAAUUCCCAUAUUAGUUAGAAGUGAAAAAAGUGGACAAGGAAGUAACAUAGAUUUCUUCUAUUUUGAAAUAUUAAACUCGUACAGAACAUAAGGGAGUGCACUAGCUAUAUUAAAAAGAGUAAUAAUAGUAUACACUAUCGAUGUAAAAAGAUAGUUACACAAAACAUCACAAACUGUGAAGGAGUUCCAUAAUUCAUAUCACUAAAACAAGUAUUGUAUAGUGUUCUGAGGUAUGCUCAGACCAUUAAAAUAGAAGUAAUAAAAAACUGAAUCGCAUCAUGUUGUAUAACGACUCCAAAUUCACAUUAAUGGCUCAAGGGCUAGUAGCAGCGACGGCUGUGUCCUUGGGAAUCGUGGGAACGAAAGGCAAUGUUGGCUUGGGAAAAUCAGGAAGAUGAGUCACUUCGGGCACUACCGGCAAUUCCGGCUUUGGUAUUGUUGGAAAUUCGGGCUUUGGUAGCUCAGGAAGCGGCGGCAAUUCGACUUUCGGCAGUGACGGGAAUUCUGUCUUUGGCAAGCUAGGGAUGUCAGGAAGUUGAGGUAAUUCGGGCUUCGGCAAUUCCGGCACUUCUAAGGACUCCGGCUUCGGUGUUGCUGGAAAUUCAGGCUUUGGUAGUUCAGGAAGCGGUGGCAAUUCGACUUUCGGCAAUGAUGGGAAUUCUGGCUUUGGCAAGCUAGGGAUGUCAGGAAGGUGAGGCAAUUCAGGCUUCGGUAGUUCGGGCACUUCGGGCAAGGUCGCCUCCAAAAGUCGGCGGGCUCCAACUGGCUUCUCACCAAUCAUCAAAGACAGAGCGAGGACAAACAAUGCCAAAAGGUGCGCGAGUCCAUGAUGGUUCGUCAUUGGAGAAUCAAUCGACUAGCAAAUUCAAAAGCUUUGAGUGAAGAAGCGGCGAAUCUCGAGUGAGAGAAGGUGCAGGUGUGCUUGAGCAAUGGCUUGAUGGAGGGCUUAUAAGGAGGAGGGACGUGGAGGAUUGGGGAGAAUGCAAGUAUGGUUUGGUGGGAAUAUUAUCAAAGGGUUAGGUCAACUUCUAAACCAAUCUCAUUUUUGUACGUUCAACAGCAAGAUAGAGCAUAUUAUUCCAAAAGGAGCUUGCCAAUUCUUGGCUUUUCAGGCUUCUGACUACCUGUUGAGGUGAGAAAGAGGGAGAGAAAAGAAAAGAAAAGAAAUGGUUUAUGAUCUCACUAUGUACAACAGGACUGGAGUCUUGGAGUCUUAAAAUAUUGGAGAAGCCAAUAAUGUAAGAGCAAAAUAAUAAAUAUUGUCAGUGAUCAUUAUUCAUGGAAUCUUUACUUGAUGCAAGGAUUACUCAAGUUUUAAGCAUGUAUGUUUUCUUUUGAGGCCUUGGUUCAAAUCCCUACAAUUGUGCAUUAUUUUCGAUGAUCUUUGAGAACAUAGGCAUGUAUGAAUCCGAUUAUCUCUCUAAUUGUGUGGGAUAAAACUACUCUUGCUGGAAAAAACAAAACUUUAGGUGACAACUUUUUGGGGACAGACAUAAAAGGAGAUCCUUAAAUAGAGUUUCUAGUUAGGGGUGAGUAGUUCUAAGGAUGGUUUAGGUUUCAACUUUCUUGGAACUUGAAAUUUACCUUAUUAAGACCGGUUUCCCAGUUUUUGAAACUUAAAACCUAUCAUGUAUAUCUUAAAAUUUGUGACCUGCUCUAUCAAUCGAAUCCAAAGUCUAUUAAGGAACCGGCUGAUUUCUCUUUUCUUUUCUUUUUCUUUUUUUUUUCUUGUUUCAUUUUAGUCAGCAAUAGAGAGAACAUAACAACAAAAAUCAUCAUUUGUCAAUAACAAUGAUCUAUAAAAUAUUAGCACCUAAAAUAAAAUAAACAAUAAAAAGUUGAAAACGCAUAAUGUAGAAUCCAAAUUUCAUGCUCUCAAAGGAGUCAAGAACCAUGAUAAAAACCAAGGAUUCGAAUGAAGGAACCUUUUUUUUCAUUUGAGCCUCGUGUAAUACCGUUCAUGUCAUGCUCUAUUUUAGGAUUACCUUGGUUCUUGUUCUAGUUCUUUGAUUUUCAGUCUGAUUCGUCGAUUCUUAGUUCAAUUCUAUUCAAUUCUUAAGAAUCGCAUAGAACAAGUUCCAAAAAAUGUGAAACCGAAAUUUGGAGCAUGCCCUUUAGAACCUAGAGACAGGUCGAUUCCCAUGACCUGUUUGGUCUUUCUUGAUUAUACUUGGGAAAUUUGCUCACCCCCAACUUCUUGUUCCGUCCCUACGGAAAUAUUGAAUGAGCCGUCGUUAAUGGUAAUAGUGUAAAUGAUUUAGUUUGGUUCGGUUUUUUGGGAAAACGGAACCAAACCGAACCGAUAAAGAAAUUUAUUGAAUCAAACUGAAAUUCCAUCCAAAUCGAAACCGAAUCGUCAAUGACAAAGCAAGGACAAAUAAUGCCAAAAGAUGCGAGAGCCCGCAGUAGUUCGCCAUCGUAGAACCAAUAUACUAGCAAAUUGAAAAACUUCGAGUGAAGAAGUGGAGGAUGUCAAGUGUAAAGGUGCAGGUGUGUUCGAGCAAUGGCUUGAUGGAGGGUUUUUAAAGAGGGACAUGGGGAUUGGGGAGAUUGCAAGUAUGUUUUGGAGGGAAAAUUAUCGAAGUGUUCGUUGAACUUCCAAACCAAUCUCAAUCUCUUUUGUUCAACAACAAGAUGGAGCCGAUAAUUCCAAAAAGGAUCUUUAUAUUCUUGGCAUUUUUAAGCUUGUAACUGCGAGUUGUGUUGGACUUCCUAGCUAGGAGGGAAAGACAAAAGAAAGGAAAUGAUUUAUGAUCUCACUCUAUGUACAAGAGGACGAAGUCCAUAGCUUUGGUCAGAGAAGUCAACAAUGUUGAGAGUAAAAUCUAAGUUUUGCCAAUGAUAAUUAUACACGAAAAGUAUUCUUGAUGUAAGGAUUGCUUAAGUGGUAGGCAUAUUCCUUCUCUUUCUCUGAUAAUUUCAUAAACCUAUGUAUCUGGUAAUUUCUUGAUAUGCGUGGGACAAGGCGGCAGCCACUGUUAAGGCUACCAUUUUGGGCCUCAAUAGAGAAGCUUAUGGUCAAGUUGAGGGUAAGGCCACCACCUUCGGAGGGAGUUGGUGGCGUACAAGCCGACUUCGGAGGAGAUGCUAAUUGCUUCCUGAAAAAGUGAGGGUUUAAGAUCCAUGAAAUUGCGAAGUUAAGAAGGAGAAGACUAAGUGGUAAAGAGAUUGAAGAACUGCCACCCUCGGAUGAAACUAAUGAUCGAAUGAAACAAUUCAAUUGGGUAAGCGUAGGACUCUGAGUCGAGAGCACCAAAGACAUCAAUCAAUUGGAUGGGGGAGAAUAUCAUGGACCGGAGGUUCUCAAGGUGCAAUAGGCUGAGGCGGUGGCCAUGUGACCGGGGGUGCCUUAGAUUUAGAGAAGCCUUGUCAUUAAUGGAGGUAUGUGGUAAAUGAAGAGAUAUAUAACUUUUUGUAUAUCUCCACUUUUUUCAUCCUAGGAAAAAUAGGUAUUCAUUACUCUGGUCUUUAUGUGUAUUUAAUUCUCUCUUUUCCUCUUCCCCUCAAAAAGGGCGGUCCUAGGGGCGCAAUCAAUUCGGGAGAAAUUAGUUUUUCUUUUCUUUAUUUGAUCUUGACCUGCAGUUGGAUGAAUAUUUGGUUAUUAUCCUUCUAAAUAAUAUGCUGAAUAUUACUAUAUCUCAAUAAAUAUAAACGCUGAUUCACAAUGAAAAAAAAUAAGAAUUGGUGAUCAUCUAUUCCUUAUGUAUGGAUCAUCCUUCUUAUCAGUAUCUAGGAAAGCAAUUGUUUUUUUUUUCUGGCAGAUAAUUUUUUUAUUAAUUCAAAUUCAUAUAUAUAUAUAUAUAUAUAUAUAUAUAUAUAUAUAUAUAUUUUGAGCAAGUCAAAUUCAUAUCUGUUAAGUGACAGCAAAAGUUAACUAUACUUCAAACAGAAAUACAUCGAGCCAAACGAAAAAUUGGUGAGGGAUUCUUUAUUUAUAAGAAGUAGCAAAACUGAUUUAGAUCUUAUGUCCUGAAAUUAUCUUUUGUGAUCCGUCUCAUCUUAUAACAUAAUGUUCAAGCUCGCAAGGUUUUUCACAGUUCGGGUAUUGGUGUCCCCGUAGGCUUAUACAAGGUUUUUUUUUGUAAUAGUAAGCUUAUGGAAAUAUAUAUAUAUAUAUAUAUAUAUAUAUAUAUAUGUAACUAUAUUUGUACAAUAAGGAGAGAAAUUGACUUUUUCGCUUGAAAUAGAAAGUGUAACAGAAUAGACUAACAAUAUGCGAACUGGUCAAUAUCAUGAAAAACUAUAAACUGAUACAUUUGUGAUAAGUUUACUUCUAUCUAAUUAUUUGGCCACAAAAAACUCCAACCAAUACACUUAUGACAAAUUUACCUAAAAUUAAUAUUUUGACCAUGAAAACAUUUAAAUUGGUACACCUAAAAUAAAUUUACCAAAAACUAAUUUUUUGACCACUAAAAAUCUCAAAUUGAUAUACACCUAACAAAUUUACCCAAACUAGUUUUUUGACCACUAAAAAACCCCAAAGUGGUAUAUAUAAGGCAAAUUUCUUCUAUAUUAGCUUUUCUUAAACUGGAUUAACACCAUGACAAACCACAAACUAAAACAGACCGGGGGGGGGGGGUAAUAUCCCAAACUAAUAUUUUUUUCAACCAUCACGUAUCAUCUAACUUAGUAAUUUAAUAGUGAAAUUUAAAAUAAAAUAAUGGAUGGUAAAUUUGUUAUAAGUAUAUUAGUUAUGGUUUUAGUUUGGGAUAAAUUUAUCACAUGUGUACUAGUUUGGGGUUUUUAGUGAUAAAAAAAUUAGUUAAGGAUAAAUUUAUCAAAAGUGUAUCAGUUUAGUGUUUUUAAUGUACCCGUUUGGAGUUUCUAUUCUUGAGAAUAGGAAAAUAGAAAAAAAAAGAAAGAUCUAUCAAUAAAAUUGACUAUACCAUAUACAAUAUAUUAUGUGAUAGGGAACACGUAUAUAUUAAUUAACACUCGUCAAUACUUUAAUAUAUAGCGUAUAAUUACUUUGGUUCAAUCCAAUAUGAAUUGCAGUGAAUAAUUUUUUUUAUUUAUUACCUAAUUAAAGAAUGAUGAUUGGUUGGAAAACGACAACAUAGUCAUGUCAAUUUUAGAAAUAUAUAUAACUCAUGAUGAAUUCAUUUUAAGUAUACAUAUAAGACAAACGAACCUCCAUUGUUACGAACGGUUGAUAUAUUGAAAAAUCUCAAACUAGUACACAUGUGAUAAAUUUAUCUUAAACUAAUUUUUUGACCAUGAAAAACCCCAAAUUGGUACACCCGUGAUAAAUUUACCCCGACUGAUCAUAAAAAAAAAAAAAAUCUCAAAUUAGUACAUUUGUAAUAGAUUUAUCCCAAACUAAUUUAUUCGAUCGCCAAAAAACCCAAAUCGGUACAUUUGUGACAAAUAUACCCUCUAUUAAGUUAGAUUAAUAUCAUAAAAAAAUCACAAAAAUUGUAUGAUGGUAACAAAUGGAGAAUAAAAUCUCAAAUUGGUAUACCAGUAAAUUGCCGCAUGUCAUUCAAUUUAGUAAUUUGAUAGUAAAAUUUAACGGAAACAAAUAGAGAGUAAAUUUAUCACAAAUAUACUAGAUUUGGGUAUAUUUGUUAAAGGUAUACCGGUUUAGGAUUUUUGCUAAAAAAAUUAGUUUGUGGUAAAUUUGUUACGACUGUACCAGUUUGGGGUUUUUCAAGAUAUUAACCCAAUAAUGAAUGACGCAUUUUAUUUUUCUUGAUUUUUUCUUUGAUUAUUUGAAUUUCAUAAGUAUUGUCAUUACUAGAACUCAUAUAAAUUAAAUUUUCAUAUUAGUUAUAUGUGAAACAAGAUAAGGAGUUUCAGCAAACAUGAGUUUCAACAAAUUUGGAAAUAUAGAACUCAUGUGAAGCAUGCUCGAGUGCACUAGGUAUUUAAGAAAGAGUAAUUAUAGCAACUCCGUCGGAUGUAAUAGUUAAGUUACUCAAGAUAUCACAAAUUGUCCCACAAAUAAGUUUCAUAAUUGUCCCACAAAUAUGUUCCAUAAUUCAUAUAACACUAUCAUACAAAAUAUACUGUUCCGAGGCAUGCUCAGACCAUCAAAGUAGACGUAAUAAAAUAUUAAAUAACAGCAUGUUGCAUCACGACUCCAAAUUCACAUCACAACGGUUCAAGGAUUAGUAGCAGCCGCAGGCAUGUCCUUCGCAACGAAAGGCAAAGUUGGCUUAGGGAAAUCGGGGAGAUGAGGCAAUUCGGGCACUUCCGGCAAUUCCGGCUUCGGUAUUGUUGGUAAUUCAGGCUUUGGCAGUUCCGGAAGUGGCGGCAAUUCAACUUUUGGCAGUGAUGGCAAUUCUGGCUUUGGCAGGCUUGGGAUGUCGGGAAGGUGUGGCAAUCCGGGCUUCGGCAGUUCGGGCACCUCGGGCAACGUCUCCUCCAAAAUUCGGCUAGCUCCAACCGAGUUCUCGCCGGUCAUCAAGGACAAAGCAAAGACAAACAAUGCCAAAAGAUGCACAAGUCCGCGAUAGUUCGCCAUCGCAGGACCGAUCGACAAGCAAAUUUAAAAACUUCAAGUGAAGAAGCGAUGGAUCUCAAAUGAGGAGGUGCAGGUGUGCUUGAGCAAUGGCUUGAUGGAGGGUUUAUAAAGAGGAGGGACGUGGGGAUUAGGGAGAUUACAAGUAUGGUUUGGUGGGAUUUUGUCGAAGUGUUAGUUCAACUUCUAGACCAAUCUCAUUUUCGUAUGUUCAACAACAACAUGGAGCAGAUAAUUCCAGAAAGGACCUUGCCAAUUAUUGGCUUUCAACGCUUGUAACCAUCAGUCGUGCUGGUAUUAUAUAGCUUUUUGUUUUGGUUUUCCUAUAAAUCGUUAAUUGGUAACCGUACUACAAUCAUGAACUACGAUCAUUGUAAAUGAUAUCCUAAAAAUGACCAUCCCGAUACAUGCACAUAUAUAUAGCUGAUUUACAUAUGAAAUUAAAAACUGAGACUAGGUAAAACUAUCUAACGUCUUGAAAUAUCUUUUCCGCAAUCCAUCUCAUGUGAUGGAAUGAUAGCCAAGCUUGCAAGGUUUUUCAAUUAUUUGAUAAAUUUUAGACUAUGUUCUUUGACUAGUAGUACACGUGAUUGAUGAACGAAUUAAAGAUCAACAAAUAUUUGAUAACCAACGCAAUACUACCAUAGAAGUCUCAAAACAUAUCUCAAAUAUGAUGUAAUCGUGUGCUUUUAUGGAGCAGAAUACAAAGUACAUAUGUAUCUAUUACGGACCGGUUUGAAAUUGGUCUACUAUAUUAUAAUGACAUUCGAAAAUUAAAUGAAAAACUUCUUUUCUUACCAAAAUUGAAUCUUGAGAAUUUUUCAAGGAAAGUAAAAAUAUCAAGAAAGAACUCAAAAAAUUCGUAACCGGAAUACAUUUUGCGAAAAAUAAGUCCAUUCAAUUUAACGAGAAAUACUCUUUUUUUCCAAAUAGAUUGAUAAAAAUUUUCUCGGAAAGUAACAAUUUAAAGGAAAGUAUCUUAAGUCUCAAUCUAAAUAUAUUUAGGUGAUUUUGUGUAGCAUUAUGUUUAGACAGAAGUCUUUUUAUUUUUUUCAAGGAAAUUUUGAGAGAGAAGAGUAUUAAAGAUUAACAUGUAUAUCAAAUACUAUUUAAUGUAAUUAUGAAUGAGAAAAAUGUUUAUGAUUAUUAAUUUAAGUAAAAUUGACUAUAUGAGCAUGAUAUAUGAUGUGAUAUAAAAAAAAAGUGUAAAUAUAUCUAUAUUUGAGAGAGAGAGAGAGAGAGAGAGAGAGAGAGAGAGAGAGAGAGAGAGAGAGAGAGAAGUUGCAGCUAAAUAGAUUGACAUUAUGCGAUAUCAAGAAUAGAAAAAAUUGAUCUAUAACGGUUAAGUUGUCUAUACAAUACAAUGUAUGCCAUGUUAUAGAAAACAUCAAUAAUAUUUAACAUAUAUCGAUACUAUAACAUAGAGCUUAAAAUUACUUCAAUUCAAUUCAAUACAAAAUGAAAUAAAAACAAACAUCAGAGUUAAUAUUACUUAAUUGAAGAAUGAUGAUUGCUUGAAACAUGAAAAAAUAGUUGUGUCAAAUUAAAAGGGAAGAUACUCUAUGAUAAAUUCAAUUUUAGUAAAUAAGAUGUUCAAUAAGUGGAUUUAUAACUUAUAUGUAAGAUAAAUGAACCUAUAUCACUUGAUCAUAUAACAAACAUGUAAUUUUGCUGAUUUUUUCUUCGAAUAUUUAAAUUCUAUGAUAAGUUAAAUGUGUAUAAAGUAGAUACUGAGUUUUAGUAAACAUAAAUUUGAUAUAUUUUGAAAUAUAAAACACAUGAAGCAUAAGAAAGUCUACUAGUUGUUUAAGAAAGAGUAACUAUAGCAUACUCUAUCGGCAUAAAAGAAGAGUUACACAAGAUAUCAUAAACUAUCAUACCAAUAAGUUCCAUAAUUCAUAUCACAAACUAUCACAUAAACAACUAUAAAUGGCAUAUAACAUUCUGAGGUGAAUAUUGACCAUUACAAUAGAAGUAAUAGAAUACAAAUUCAUAUCAUAUCGAAUCCCGACUACAAGUUCACAUCACAACGGUUCAAGGACUAGUAGCAGCAACAGACAUGUCCUUCGGAAUGGAAGGCAAUGUUGGCUUAGGGAAAUCAGGAAGGUGAGGCAAUUCGGGCACUUCCUGCAAUUCUGGCUUUGGUAAAGUUGGAAAUUCAAGCUUUGAAAGUUCGGGUACUUCCGACAAUUCUGGCUUCGGUAUUGUUGGAAAUUCAGGCUUUGGCAGUUUGGGAAGUGGUGGCAAUUCGACUUUUGGCAGCGAUGGCAGUUCUGGUUUUGGCAAGCUUGGGAUGUCGGGAAGCUGAGGCAAUUCUGGCUUCAACAGUUCAGGCACUUCAGGCAACGUCGUGUCCAAAAGUUGGUGAGCUUCAACGUGGUUCUGGCCGAUUGUCAAAGACAGAGCAAGGACAAACAAUGCCAAAAGAUUAGUGAGUCUGCAAUAGUUCACCAUCGGGGAAUCAAGCGACUAGCAAACCGAUAAACUUUGAGUGAAGAAUCGGUGUGUUUGAGCAAUGGCUUGAUGGAGGGUUUUUAAAGAGGAGGGACCUAAGUAGCACCGACAUGGGACACGAUAUGACACAACACGUCGACAUGUCAUUUCUAAAAAAUAGAGAAAUUUGAUACGUUGCAAUACGUUAUAUAUUAAACGAAUAUUUUUAUUUUUAAUUAAUUUAAUUCAAAUUCAUAAAUAAAUAAAUAAAGAACCUAUAAUGAAUUUACACUAAUAAUAUUAAUAAAUCAAUUCAUUAGAAAUUCGAAAGCUAUAUUCAUAGUUAAUGCGAAAUAUGUUUUUAACUUUAACAAAAGUUAUUGAUGAAAUUAAUGACUAAUAAGAAAUUAGAAUCAAUUUAUUUAAAUAAAUCCAUGAUUUUCUACAAUGACCAAAAUUUAUCAUUAUUCAAAAUUCAAUACUUUUAUUUUUUGAAAUUAUUUUUUUAAUCUCAUUUAUUUAAUUUUCCGAUUAAAAAUAAAAAUCCCCAAAGGUCCACCCCUUCUUUCCCUCGUCCGUUUCCCUCCACCCCAAAUUUAUUUUACUUCGCCCCCCACCCCCCACACCACCUGACAAACAGUAACUUCCCCUCCCCCAAACUCAAAAAUCACGUCAUCAGUCUCCCUUUUUUUUUUAUUACUUUUUAGUUCCCUUAUCAAAACCCUAGCCACCCUCCUUUUCCUCCUCCUUCUCGCCGUUGGCCGCACGACCCCCUCCCCUUCCUCUCCUCUUCCUCUCCUCUUCCUCUCGAUCCUUCUCCUUCUCCUCCUCACCACACGACCACCUGCCUCUCCGCAUGACCCCCUUCCUCUCCUCCUCCUCCUCCUUGUUGCCAAUCCAUCGCAACAAUGGCGGCCCUCGCUUCAGUUUCUGCUCUCUUUGGUUGUCUCUCACCAUUGCAGUAGUUCGUUGCAUGGCUUCAUCUUGCUAGCGGGAGUUUGCUUUCUCUGUCUUCUUUCCCUCCAUCUGUUGGAGAAAUCUUCUUGAAGUGUUUUGAAGUUGACAAAACGUUUCUAUCAGUCUAGUCUGAAGGCUUGCAGACUCUGCUAUUUAAAGUCUGAAGACCUCCGGACAGCCAGACUCAAGACUCAAAGUCUAUCCUCAUUGAUAGUCUCUAAUCCGUUGAAGAAAGGUUAUCCAGAACUGGAUGUUUCGUUAAGGAUUUAACCUUAUCAACUGGAGAAGAUCUCGUGGCUGGAGAAGACAUAACAGAGUCCUUUGAUUGAUUUAAGAUUGACUCGAUAAUUGAAGAUCCGGUGAUUGCCUAAAUAUUAUUGGAAGGUUCUGCUUAUGGAAACCGAGAUCCUGAUUGUAUGGGCGAACAUGAUUGAUGGGCUAUCAACACGUUCCUUUAAUAGCUUGAACAAUUUUUCUAAUUGAUUCCGUCCAACGGGUAGAUUGGAGGAAUUCCUUUGGUAAGUGCCAACGGGUAUGAUGGCAUAAAGGAGUAUAUAAGGAAGACUGUCUUAGUUGUUCAAGGUGUGCGCAAUAGAAGAAUUCCAAAGUCUGAAGCUCCUUUUUUGUUUAGACAAAUCCUUUGAGCGAAUACUUGUAUACGAAAGAGAGAGUCUAUAUUUGUGAGAAAUCUUGAGAAGGUGUGGUAGAACAUCUACACUGUGGAAUCAAGGCAAAUCUGUGCUGUAACUUCUCUUUUGUUCAUAGUGGAAUCCAGCCAAUAGGCUGUCAGUGAAGAAGAGUGGACGUAGGCUUGAUAUAAGCCGAACCACUAUAAAUCACGUGUUCAAUUUUCUCUUCUCUCAGUCUUACUUUGAUUAUCGUUUCCAUCAACUGUCUAGUAUUGUGCAAUUGUUGAAGAAAAAUCCUCUAUAUACCUAUUCACCCCCCUCUAGGUACUCAUACUAGCAAUAUCAAUUGGUAUCAAAGCCUGUGUACUUACUUUAUUUGAAGUGUUUUACUUCGUAGUAAAAGAUCCAUGGCUAGUAUGCUAGCACCAUGGCUGAUGGAAGGGCAAAGCAAUACCAGACCACCCUACUUUGAUGGAAAGGAUUACAACAUCUGGAAGAACAAGAUGAAAGCUUUCCUACGAUCAAAGGAUCCUCUGGAAUGGGACGUUGUAGAAAAAGGAAUUACUCCUACCACUGCAUUAGUCUCUGAAAGAGGAAAAGAAACUGAUGAAACUAGCGGAAUGUCUCAGGAAGAAAUAAUCAAGAGACAAGCACUCGAUACAAAAGCAAUUUACUCCUUAUAUUGUGCUUUAUCACCAACUGAAUAUAAUAGAAUAUCUUCUUGUGGUACAGCAAAAGAAGUUUGGGACAGAUUGCAUAUCACCUAUGAAGGAACAGAUUGAGUGAAGGAAACAAGAAUCAACAUUUUUCUCGGUCAAUACGAAGCCUUCAGAAUGAAACCAGGAGAAUCUAUAUCUGACAUGUUUAGUCGUUUUACAGAUAUUGUGAAUGGUCUUGAAAAUCAAGGUCAACCAACUUUUGAUCCCAUGAAGGUAAACAAGCUACUGCGUGGACUCUCCAGGAUUGGAAUCACAUAAAGACUUCGAUAAGUAAUUUUAAAAUUCCUGUCAAAGUUUCUAAAUACAUUGAUGAACUAUGUUUUAGUCUUAAGACUUCUCUCAAAAGAAUUUCCGAACUAAAAAAGGAAAACUCAGCUCUAAAACAAAAGGAAAAUGUUUUAGUAGAAAGAGUUAAAAGUCUAGACUUGACUGUUUCUAAUCUUAAAGAAAAUGAAGAUAAUCUUUUAAAAGAAAAUGCUUUUUUAAAAACAGACUUAUCAAAUACAUCAAAGAAAUUUUCAAUAGGGUCUGAAAAACUUGAGAAAAUUCUUUCAGCACAAAGACCUUACUUCAAUAAGUCCGGUCUAGGUAUGUUAGAAGAAACAAUUCCCUUGAUUGAUUUUCCUAAAGUAAAAGAAAGAAUUAAGAAAAGACUCUCGAGAGAGGUUUACAAAAAUCACUUCAAGAAAGUUUUUGUAAAAUCUAUAGGUAGAAAUGCUCUAAGAUGUUCAAAAUGCAACAGUCCGGAUCACUUUGAAAAAGAGUGUCCUAUGGUUUGGAAACCUGUUAAGAAAAUAUGGGCUAAUACUGCUUAUGUUACUAACACCAAAGGACCCAAGAAAGUUUUGGUACCAAAGAAAGCUUGAGACUCUUUUUUAAAUGCAGGUCACCGUCGAGAAAAAUGUGAAGUGGUAUCUUAACAGUGGAUGCUCAAGACACAUGACAGGAGACUCAAAUUGUUUUAUAAAGCUUGCUCAAGUAAAUGGUGGAAAAGUUUCAUUUGGAGGAAACAACAAAGGGAGUAUUGUGGGAUUUGGAACUGUGAAAAUUGGAAAUCUCACAAUAAGUAAUGUUUCCUUAGUGGAAGGACUCAAUUACAAUCUUCUCAGCAUUAGUCAAUUGUGUGAUACUGGUUUCAAGAUCUUCUUUCAAGAAGGAAUAUGUUCUGGAAUCAGUAAAGACUCUACUCAGUCUUUCAUGGGUCGUAGACAUGGAAACAUCUAUCUUCUGGAUGUGAAACCAAAUGAAUCGCAAUGUUUUAUCUCAAUUCAAGACGAAGCAAGCUUAUGGCACAGAAAGCUUGGUCAUGUAUGAAGCAAUUAGCCAAAAUCUCAUCAAAGCAGCUUGUUCGAGGACUACCCAAAUUACCUUAUCAAAAGACUGAUCCAUGCACUCCAUGUAUUCUGGGAAAGCAGGUAAGAAAUUCAUUUAAGCCAAUAAAUCAUGUCUCUACUAAUCAUGUACUACAGUUGCUGCAUAUGGAUCUCUUCGGACCAACCAGAACACAGAGUAUUGGAGGUAAGAAAUAUUGCCUAGUAAUUGUGGACGAUUACUCCCGUUUUACUUGGAUAUAUUUCCUUGCAAGUAAGUCUGAAACCUUCUCGUAUUUUGAAAAGUUUGCUAAAAAGGUUCAAAAUGAAAAAGGAUGUAUUAUCUCAAGUAUACAGAUCAUGGAGGUGAAUUUGAAAAUGAAGAUUUUACUAAAUUUUGUGAUGAAUCUGGCUUUAAUCAUGUGUUCUCCUCUCCAUAUACUCCUCAGCAAAAUGGACUUGUGGAAAGAAAGAACAGAUCUCUUCAAGAAAUGGCUAGAACUCUUUUAAUUGAAAGCAAGAUUUCUUCACGAUUUUAGGCUGAAGCUAUUUCAACAGCUUGUUAUAUCAUCAAUAGAGUCUUCUUAAGACCUAUUCUAGAGAAAACCCCUUAUGAGUUGUUCAAAGAUAAGAAGCCUAUUGUUUCAUACUUUCAUGUAUUCGGUUGCAAAUGUUUUAUAUUGAAAAAUGCAAAAGAUCGAGUUGGUAAGUUUGAAGAAAGAUCAGAUGAAGGUAUCUUCUUUGGAUAUUCUACAUCAAGCAAAGCCUUCAGAGUCUAUAACAAGAAGAGCCAGUCUGUGGAGGAGUCAAUGAAUGUCAAAUUUCAAGACUCAACGCAAGAUGAAUCAAGUCAGACUCAUCAAGAAGAGUCUGAACCUGCUCCAGAACUUCCAAAGCUUACAACUCAAGAAGCAUCUCAGACUCUGGAAAACCAGCAUCAGGAUGUUCGUGAAGAUCUAAACAAAGAGAGAGAUCAUCAACCAGACAAAUCAACAAGUAACUGGAAGCAUAAGUCUAGUCAUCCCAAAGAUCUUAUAAUCGGCGAAAUUAAUGAAGGAAUUCGCACCAGAUCCAAAAGGCGAGAAGAGUCUAGUGCUGUGGCUCUCGUUUCUGAAAUUGAACCAAAAAACAUAGAAGAAGCUUUAUCUGAUGAAAGCUGGAUUGAAGCUAUGCAAGAAGAGCUCAGACAGUUCAGCAUUAAUGAUGUCUGGGAAUUGACAUCCAAACCAAAAGGUAAAACUAUUAUUGGAGCUAAAUGGGUGUUCAGAAACAAGAUGAAUGAGAAAGGAAAAGUCGUACGAAACAAAGCAAGACUCGUGGCCAAGGGAUAUACGCAAGAAGAAAGAAUAGACUAUGAUGAGACUUACGCUCCAGUAGCAAGGUUAGAAGCUAUUCGACUAUUACUUGCGUUUGCUUGUUAUAAGAAUUUCAGGUUAUUCCAAAUGGACGUCAAAAGCGCCUUCCUAAAUGGAUUUAUCCAAGAGGAAGUUUAUGUGGAACAACCACCAGGGUUUGAAGACCCAAAGAAGCCAGACUCAGUCUUCAGACUGAAAAAGGCUUUGUAUGGUUUAAAGCAAGCACCUCGAGCUUGGUACGACAUAUUAAUCUAUGCAGGAUGAAUUUGAAAUGAGUAUGAUGGGAGAGUUAACAUUCUUUCUUGGUCUUCAAGUAAAACAAUUGAAGGAAGGAACUUUUAUUUAUCAAGAAAAAUAUGUUAAUGAUCUUGUCAAAAGAUUUGGACUGGAAAAGUGCAAAAAGACCGACAUACCGAUGUCAAGUUCUUUGAAGAUAGACAAAGAUGAAGAAGGGAAGAAAGUUGAUUAAAAGCUGUACAGGAGCAUCAUUGGUUCACUUCUUUAUCUUACCGCUUCUAGACCUGACAUUUUGUUGAGUGUUUGCAUCUGUGCUAGGUUUCAAUCAGAUCCAAGAGAAUCCCAUCUCAGUGCUGCGAAACACAUCAUUAAAUACAUUGCUUCAUCAUCAAGCAUCGGUCUUUGGUAUCCUAAGAAGGGAGACUUUAAUCUUCUGGGAUAUUCAGACGCAGAUCUGGCCGGUUGCAGAGUUGAUAGAAAAAGCACUUCGGGAACCUGCCAGUUGCUUGGAAGCAGGACAGUGUCUUAGUUUUCAAGAAAACAAAGCACUCUGUCCCUUUCAAUAACAGACGUAGAGUAUGUAGCCCUUGGAAGCUGCUGUUCGCAAAUUCUAUGGAUAAAACAGCAGCUAAGAGACUUUGAAAUUGAAGACUCAUGCACGGAGAUUAAUUGCGACAAUACCAACGCUAUCAACCUCACCAAAAAUCCUAUUCUCCACUCAAGAGCAAAGCAUAUAGAGAUUCGACAUCACUUUAUUAGAGACCAUGUUCAAAAUGGAGAUGUUUCAAUUCAAUUUGUUGACUCAAAGAAUCAACUGGCGGAUAUAUUCACAAAGCCUUUGGAGAAAAAUCAAUUUGAGUCUAUACGUUCCAGACUCAACAUUUUGAGGUAUGAGGAUAUCAAAGUCUAAAGACUUUUAGACUUAGACUUACAAGACUUUAUCUGAAAGACAGUCUUGGUACGUCCGUCAGACUGUAAGUCUUUCUCUCUUGAAUCUCAUCUUGAAAAGGUACGAUCGUCAGACUGUGUUUAAAUUGUUGCUAUAUUUAAUUGACGUAAAUAUUGCAUCGUUUCAUUUUCAAAAAGGAAGUUAUUUUUGAAAUGGCUAUUUUUCAGAAAAAGACAGUUAUUUUGAAAAGGCAUAUUUUUAUUUCCUUUGUGACGGUUCGUUUAUCCCUCUUUUUAACCGAUCGUGCACUGUCGAUUCCUCUUCACUUUUCUCUCAAAAACCCUAGAAAGCAUCGAUCCUUCAUUCCCGUUUGUCUUCUUCGUUUAAUCCUCAAAAAGUUGUCAUCUUUCCUGGGAAAGUCAAGUAAGGAAUCUUCCAAAAACUGAGAAAUAUGUCAUCUUCAAGAAAGUCUUCAAGAAUCGCAAGCAGGGGACCACGGCGGAUGAGUGAGGGGCCUACGCACUUCGAUCUUACUGAAGAAGAAGUGACUCCAGAACAGCAAGCGAGCCCACAACAUUCUCAGCAGCGUCAUUCUCCUCCCUCUAGUCCUAAAGGCGUUGAUCAACAACAACAGGAAGAAAUCAUCGAGGAAGCAGACCCUGUAAGAGUUCAAAAGCCCGCUUAUAUUUACCAGUUAUAUCGUGCCUUAAAAGGAAUUCGUACUCCUUUGAACUACAUUGAUGAGUUUCUUAAAGACAAAGGACAUGGGAACGAAUAUAUCUUUAUGCGAAAAAUGGAAAGUUUGGGAAUUGCUCGAAAAGGGGUGGCUGAGGAAACCCUUGCAAAUAUUGAUAUUGCUAGUAUAAACACCUAGAGGGGGGUGAAUAGGCGCACAAACAAUUUUUCUUGAAUACGGAAGCAAUUCUUAACAGAUUGAUAUACGUUUGAAGUAAAGAGAGUAAGGAAGAGAAAAUUAAACACAGGAUUUAUAGUGGUUCGGAUUAUUCCAAUCCUACGUCCACUCUUCCGCACUGACAGCCAACCGGCUGGAUUUCACUAUAAUAAAAAGAGAAGUUACAGCACAGCUUUGCCUUGAUUCCACAGUGUAGAUGUUCUACCACACCUCCUCAAGGUCUCUCACAAAUAUAGACUCUCUUUUGUAUACAAGUAAUCGCUCAAGAGAUUUAUCUAAACAAAUGGGAGCUUCAGACUUUGGAAUUUUUCUAUCGCGCACACCUCGAACAACUAAGAACGACUUCCUUAUAUACUCCUUUAUGCCAUCAUACCCGUUGGCACUUACCAAAGGAAUUCCUCCAAUCUAACCGUUGGACAUAAUCAAUUAGGAAGAUUGUUCGAGUUAUUAAAGGAACAUGUUGAUAGCCCAUCAAUCCUGUUCGCCCAUACAAUCAGGAUCUCGGUUUCCAUAAGUAGAACCUUCCAAUAAUAUAUAGAUAAUCAUCGAAUCUUCAGUCAUUGAAUCAAUCUUGAUCAAUCAAAGGAUUCUGAUAUGUCUUCUCCAGCCACGAGAUCUUCUCUAGAUGAUAAGGUUAAAUCCUGAACAAACCACUUAGUUCUGGAUAACCUUUCUUCAACGAAUUCGAGACUGUCAAUGAGGAUAGACUUUGAGUCUUGAGUCUGGCUGUCCGGAAGUCUUCAGACUUUAAACUGACAGAGUCUGCAGACUUUCAGACUAGACCGAAUGAUACGUUUUGUCAACUUCAAAACUCUUCAUGAGGAUUUCUCCAACAAUGUCCCCCUUUUUGAUGGUGACAAAACCUUCCUACAGAUUUGGAUAACUUUGACCUGCAAAACAUUUCUCAAACACAUAUGCAUAUCUUAUUGAAAUAAAUGGCUAAUAGAAUAACACUAGAUUCUGCAACCACAGAAAAUAAGUUAGUCCAAUAUAUGAUUAAUCCAUUCAUAAGAUAUCAAUAUUGAUAAAUAGAAGCAGUCAAGUUAAAUCCAAGUCUAGGCAUCCAGACACAAAAUAAAGUCAAAGUCUGUCAAAAACAAACAGACAGUUUAAACAUAAUCCAUCAAAAUAAAAAGAUUGAAAGUUUUGUUUUUCAAAUCAUGAUGCAUCUCUCCCCCUUUUUGUCAACAUUUAAAAAGGAUGAGAUGAAAUCAAGAUUGCUUGGGAACGCGGACAAGCUGGAAAUCUUCCAUAGACUGAACAAUGCCUUCCAGCCUCUUAAAGUCUUCUUUCAGCUGUACAACCUCCUCACUCUUGGCAUUAGCCUGAUUCUGAAUAGAGAGGGCUUGCAUCUUUUCAUUUAAUGAACAGGAAGAAGCUUGACCUUCAUUCUUCAAGCUUUGAACUUCGCAUCCCAAGGCAUAUAUCUGACCUUUCAUCUCCAAUAGAAUAUCCAUGAUUCUACGAAAAUCUGCUCCAUUAUCAGUCUGAGUACUUGCUUCUGCUCGUUCUGAUGGAGUAAAAGCAGACGAUGGUGGAUCAGCAUAAUCUCGCAGGUUUGGCGAUAAAGCUUCAUGACCUUCCUCUGGAAAUUGAGAUGCAUAAACAUCUUCUGGGUCUGCAGGCGAACGACUGACUCCUUCACUUUCAUCUGGAAAUGAAGAUGUCACUCCUUUCUCCUGAACUCCCCCUGUUUUCAUGCCUACAGGUGGAGAAGAGAUUUCCUCAGUUUCUCCUUCUCUUCCUUCUUCUUCAGGUCUUUCUUUCUCUGCUUCUUGUUCUGUUUCUCUUUCUCCUUCCUCCUUCUCCUUUGCUUCUCUUUCUUCUUCCUCUUUCUCUGCCUCUUUCGUCUUUUGUUCCGAUUCUUUCUGAGGAACAGGACGACUUAAGUUCUUUAAAGCCAUUGCAGAGAUGGUGAUGUCAUCAUCAUCAUCUUCAUCCUCAACGAGGAGAACUCUUCUUUUCUUUGAUGGAGCAGCCAUGGGCUCCUUCCCUUUUCUCUUAGCAGCAGAAGAGAGUUGAUGAGACUUGGCAGGAGUCUUGAAUUUCUCCAAUUCCUUGCUCAGUUCUUUCAGACGCAUUUUAGUCACCAUUUUCAGUCCUACCACCAUUUGAUCGCAUGAUCGAACACAAAGGAUUUGUGGAGGCUGAAUAUUCAGAUGUCUGAAUAACUUCGUAACAAGGCUUGGAUAAGGGAGUUGACCUCUGUCCUUCAUCACUGCUCUAUACAUGUGAAACAUGAUAGUAUGAGGGAGAGAAAACUUCUUUCCACAGAGGAUGGCAUACAUCAGCUUUGCCUCAGAGCUUGAAACAUCAGUUUUGGAAGUUGAUUUCGGCCGAAGGCAAUUAAUCACAGUUUUGUGAAGCAGGAUGUUGAAUGCAUUCAUCCUUGAGUAGGUGAUCUUCUCUUCUGUUCUUCUGUCCUUCACCAGUUCAAGAGUGGCCCGAGCAAUGGAAACCUUAAUCGGUUGAUAUCUCCCUCUCUCAACUUCUAACACAUCAGCCAGCAUAUCCAUAUCAACAACAUAGUCUUGAUCUUUGACACUGAAGGAAAAUCUAUUCGCAUCUAAAAAACUAAGAUUUGAAUAGAAAUACGCAGUCAGUUCAGCAUAAGCCUCUGUUGAGUCAGAACAGAACUUUUCCAAUUGAAGAUAAUUGAACUUUUCCCUCAAGUUCACUUUCACAGCAUCCAGAAAAUCAAAGUCCACACUCCUAGGGUUUAUUACCCCUCGCUUCAGCAAUUUCGAGUACAUAUCCUUUUGUUCCUUAGAUCUGAACAAAUCUCCCCUUUUUCCUUGAAUUUCAGCCGCAAUACCCAUUUUCGGUUGAAAUAAACUGAACAUAUUGUCAUCAUCAUUCCCAUCUACAGGAUUUGGCCCCCAGUCACGAGGAUCACUUGGGAUAUUCGCAAGGGUUUCCUCAGCCACCCCUUUACGAGCAAUUCCCAAACUUUUCAUUCUUUUCAGAAAGAUAUAUUCGUUCCUAUAUCCUUUUUCUUUAACAAAACUAUCAAUAUAGUUCAAAGGAGUACGAAUUCCUUUUAAAGCACGAUAUAACUUGUAGAUAAAAGCAGGCUUUUGAGAUCUUACGGGGUCUGCUUCCUCGAUGAUUUCUUCCUGUUGAACAAUGUCUUGAGGACUAGAUGAUGGAGAGUGACGCUGCUGAGAAUGUUGUGGGCUCGGAUGCUGAUCUGGAGAAACUUCAUCUUCCGUAAGAUCAAAGUGAGUAGGCCCUUCACUCAUCUUCUGUGGUCCCCUGCUUGCGAUUCUUGACUUUCUUGAAAACGACAUCUUUCUCAGUCAAUGGAAGAUUUCUUGCUUGACUUUCACAGAAAAGAUGACAACUUUUUAAGAUUGAACGAAGGAGACAAACGGAAGUGGAGGAUCGAUGUUUUCUAGGGUUUUGAGAGUAAAGUGAAUAGAAAGGUGAAGAGUAAUCGAUAGUGUUCGUUCGGUUAAAAAGAGAAGAAAACGAAUCGUCACAAAGGAAAUAAAAUAUGCAUUUUCAAAAUAACUGCCUUUAUCCGGAAAAAUAGCUAUUUCAGAAGUAACUUCCUUUUUGAAAAUGAAUCGUUGCAAAAUUUACGGUUAAUAAAUAUAGCAAUAAUUUAAACAGAGUCUGAUGAUCGUACCUUUUCAAGAUAAGAUUGGAGAGAGAAAGUCUUACAGUCUGAAGGUUGAGACAAGACUGUAGAUAAGGUCUUAUAAGCCUGAGUCUGAAGGUCUUUAGACUUUGAUAUCCUCAUACCUCAAAAUGUUGAGUCUGGUCCGUAUAGACUCAAAUUGAUUUUUGUCCAAAGGCUUUGUGAGUAUAUCAGCCAGUUGAUUCUUUGAGUCAACAAAUUGAAUUGAGACAUCUCCAUUUUGAACAUGAUCUCUAAUGAAGUGAUGUCGAAUCUCUAUAUGCUUUGCUCUUGAGUGGAAAAUUGGAUUUUUGGUGAGGUUGAUAGCGCUGGUGUUGUCGCAAUUAAUCUCCGUGCAUGAGUCUUCAAUUUCAAAAUCUCUUAGCUGUUGUUUUAUCCAUAGAAUUUGCGAACAGCAGCUUCCAAGAGCUACAUACUCUGCUUCUGUUGUUGAAAGGGACACAGUACUUUGCUUCCUAGAAAACCAAGACACUGUUCUGCUUCCAAGCAACUGGCAAGUUCCUGAAGUGCUCUUUCUAUCAACUCUGCAACCGGCCAUAUCUGCGUCUGAAUAACCCAGAAGAUUAAAGUCUCCCUUCUUAGGAUACCAAAGACCGAUGCUUGAUGAUGAAGCGACAUAUUUGAUGAUGCGUUUCGCAGCACUGAGAUGAGAUUCUUUAGGAUCUGAUUGAAACCUUGCACAGAUACAAACACUUAACAAAAUAUCAGGUCUAGAAGCAGUAAGAUAAAGAAGUGAUCCGAUAAUGCUCCUGUACAGUUUUUGAUCAACUUUCUUUCCUUCUUCAUCUUUGUCUAUCUUUAAAGAACUUGACAUUGGUAUGUCGACCUUUUUGCAAUUCUCCAGUCCAAACCUUUUGACAAGAUCAUUGACAUAUUUUUCUUGAAAAAUAAAAGUUCCUUCUUUCAAUUGCUUUAUUUGAAGACCAAGAAAGAAUGUUAAUUCUCCCAUCAUACUCAUUUCAAACUCCUCCUGCAUAGACUUUGAAAAUUUCUUGCACAGACUUUCAUUAGAGGAUCCAAAAAUGAUAUCAUCUACAUAUAUUUGAACAAGUAAGAAACUUUUGUUUUCCUUCUUGAUAAAUAAAGUCGUAUCUACUUUACCUUUGACAAAACCAUUUUGUAAAAGGAAAUUACUUAACCUGUCGUACCAAGCUCGAGGUGCUUGCUUUAAACCAUACAAAACCUUUUUCAGUCUGAAGACUGAGUCUGGCUUCUUUGGGUCUUCAAACCCUGGCGGUUGUUCCACAUAAACUUCCUCAUGGAUAAAUCCAUUUAGAAAUGCGCUUUUGACGUCCAUUUGGAAUAACCUGAAAUUCUUAUAACAAGCAAACGCAAGUAAUAGACGAAUAGCUUCUAACCUUGCUACUGGAGCGUAAGUCUCAUCAUAGUCUAUUCCUUCUUCUUGCGUAUAUCCCUUGGCCACGAGUCUUGCUUUAUUUCGUACGACUUUUCCUUUCUCGUUCAUCUUGUUUCUGAACACCCAUUUGGCUCCAAUAACAGUUUUACCUUUUGGUUUGGAUGUCAAUUCCCAGACAUCAUUUAUGCUGAAUUGUCUGAGCUCUUCUUGCAUAGCUUCAAUCCAGCUUUCAUCAGAUAAAGCUUCUUCUGUGCUCUUUGGUUCAAUUUCAGAAACAAGAGCCACAGCACUAGACUCUUCUCUCCUUUUGGAUCUGGUGCGAAUUCCUUCAUUCAUUUCGCCAAUUAUGAGAUCUUUGGGAUGACUGGAUUUAUGCUUCCAGUUACUUGUUGAUUUGUUUGGUUGAUGAUCUCUUUCUUUAUUUAGAUCUUCACUAACAACCCGAUGCUGGUUUUCCAGAGUCUGAGAUGCUUCUUGAGUUGUAGACUUUGGAGGGUCUGGAGCAGGUUCAGACUCUUCUUGAUGAGUCUGUCUUGAUUCAUCUUGCGUUGAGUCUUGAAAUUUGACAUUCAUUGACUCCUCUACAGACUGACUCUUCUUGUUAUAGACUCUGUAAGCUUUGCUUGAAGUAGAAUAUCCAAGGAAGAUACCUUCAUCUGAUCUUUCUUCAAACUUACCAACACGAUCUUUUGCAUUUUUCAAUAUGAAACAUUUGCAACCAAAUACAUGAAAGUAUGAAACAAUAGGCUUCUUUUCUUUGAAUAACUCAUAAGGGGUUUUCUGAAGAAUAGAUCUUAAGAAGACUCUAUUGAUGAUAUAGCAAGCUGUUGAAACAGCUUCAGCCCAAAAUCGAGAAGUAAUUUUACUUUCAAUUAGAAGAGUUCUAGCCAUUUCUUGAAGAGAUCUGUUCUUUCUUUCCACAACUCCAUUUUGCUGAGGAGUAUAUGGAGAGGAAAACACAUGUUUACAUCCAGAUUCAUCACAGAAUUUUGUAAAAUCUUGAUUUUCAAAUUCUCCUCCGUGAUCUGAUUUUAUACAAGAGAUUACACAUCCUUUUUCAUUUUGAACCUUUUUAGCAAAUUUUUCAAAAUACGAAAAGGUUUCUGACUUACUUGAGAGGAAAUAUACCCAAGUAAAACGGGAGUAAUCAUCAACAAUUACUAGACAAUACUUCUUACCCCCAAUACUCUGAGUCCUGGUUGGUCCGAAGAGAUCCAUAUGCAGCAACUGCAGAACAUGAUUAGUAGAGACAUGAUUUAUUGGCUUAAAAGAAUUUCUUACCUGCUUUCCCAAAAUACAUGGAGUGCAUGAAUCAGUCUUUUGGUAUGGCAAUUUGGGUAGAUCUCGAACAAGCUGCUUUGAUGAGAUUUUGGCUAAUUGCUUCAUGUUGACAUGACCAAGCUUUUUGUGCCAUAAGCUUGCUUCGUCUUGAAUUGAGAUAAGACAUUGCGAUUCAUUUGGUUUCACAUCCAGAAGAUAGAUGUUUCCAUGUCUUCGACCCAGAAAAGAUUGAGUAGAGUCUUUACUGACUCCAGAACAUGUCCCUUCUUGAAAGAAUAUCUUGAAACCAGUAUCACACAAUUGACUAAUGCUGAGAAGAUUGUAAUUGAGUCCUUCCACCAAGGAAACAUUACUUAUUGUGAGAGUCCCAAUUUUCACGGUUCCGAAUCCCACAAUACUUCCUUUGUUGUUUCCUCCAAAUGAAACUUUUCCACCAUUUACUUGAGCAAGCUUUAUAAAACAAUUUGAGUCUCCUGUCAUGUGUCUUGAGCAACCGCUGUCAAGAUACCACUUUACCUGUUUCUUGAUGGAGACCUGCAUUUAAUAAAGAGUCUCAAGCUUUCUUUGGUACCCAAACUUUCUUGGGUCCUUUGGUGUUAGUAAGAUAAACAGUAUUAGCCCAUACUCUUUUAAUAGGUUUCCAUACCAAAGGACACUCUUUUUCAAAGUGUUCCUUACUGUUGCACUUAGAACAUCUGAGAGAAUUUCUUCCUACAGGUUUUACAAAGACUUUCUUAAAAUGAUUUUUGUAAACUUCACUCGAAAGAAAGAAUUUUCUCAAGUUUUUCAGACCCUAUUGAAAAUUUCUUUGAUAUAUUUGAUAAGUCUGUUUUCAAGAAAGCAUUUUCUUUUAAAAGAUUUCCUUCUUUUUCUUUAAGAUUAGAAACAGACAAGUCUAAGCUUUUAACUCUUUCUGUUAAAACAUUUUCCUUUUGUUUUAGAGCUAAGUUUUCCCUUUUUAAUUUGGAAAUUCUUUUGAGAGAAAUCUUAAGACUUAAGCAUAGUUCAUUAAUAUAAUUAGAAACUUUGACAGGAAUCUUAAAAUUACUUGCCUCAAAUUCACUGUCUGAGUCUGAUCCUGAGUCUGAUCCAGAGUCUGAGUCUGAUCGUGCCAUCAGACAUAGAUUUGCAUAUUCAUUAUCACUUUCUUCACACUCAGUAUCACUCCAGGUUUCAGCUUUGAGAGCUUUUCGAAACUUUUCAGCCUUUCCUUUCUUCUUUUUUAGAAGAGGACAGUUGGGUCUGAUGUGUCCCUUCUUCUUGCAUUCAAAGCAGACUAUAUCUUUAUUUGGUUCCUCAUCAUCAACAGACUUGGUCUGCUGUCUUUGAAAGCCUGGUUUCUUUGAGUUGAACCUUCUCCCUUUUCUAUUUAGUUUUCUGAAUCUUCUUAUCAUGAGAGCAAGCUCCUCAUCGUCCAUAUCAUCUUCAGAAUCUGUAACAUCAGAAUCAUCAUUUGAUUUUAAUGCAAUGGAUUUCUUACCUCUUGGAUCUUCUUCUUCAUUUAUCCUUUCCACUUCAUAGGACUGAAGCGUUCCAAUAAGCUCAUCAACAGACAGUGGCAUAAUUCUCUGCGUCUCUCUUAUCGAAGUCUUUAUGUGAUUCCAAUCCUUGGAGAGUCCACGCAGAAGCUUGUUUACCUUCAUGGGAUCAGAAGUUGGUUGACCUUGAUUUUCAAGACCAUUCACAAUAUCUGUAAAACGACUAAACAUAUCAGAUAUUGAUUCUCCUGGUUUCAUUCUAAAGGCUUCAUAUUGACCGAGAAGAAUGUUGAUUCUUGUUUCCUUCACUCGAUCUGUUCCUUCAUAAGUGAUAUGCAAUCUGUCCCAAACUUCUUUUGCUGUACCACAAGAAGAUAUUCUAUUAUACUCAGUUGGUGAUAAAGCACAAUAUAAAGAGUAAAUUGCUUUUGCAUCGAGUGUUUGUCUUUUGGUUAUUUCUUCCUGAGACAAUCCGCUGGAUUCUUCAGUAUCUUUUCCUCUUUCAGAGACUGGUGCAGUGGUAGGAAUUAUUCCUUUUUCUACAACAUCCCAUUCCAGAGGAUCCUUUGAUCGUAGGAAAGCUUUCAUCUUGUUCUUCCAGAUGUUGUAAUCCUUUCCAUCAAAGUAAGGUGGUCUGGUAUUGCUUUGCCCUUCCAUCAGCCCUGGUGCUAGCAUACUAGCCAUGGAUCUUUUACUAUGAAGUAAAACACUUCAAAUAAAGUAAGUACACAGGCUCUGAUACCAAUUGAUAUUGCUAGUAUAAACACCUAGAGGGGGGUGAAUAGGCGCACAAACAAUUUUUCUUGAAUACGGAAGCAAUUCUUAACAGAUUGAUAUACGUUUGAAGUAAAGAGAGUAAGGAAGAGAAAAUUAAACACAGGAUUUAUAGUGGUUCGGAUUAUUCCAAUCCUACGUCCACUCUUCCGCACUGACAGCCCACCGGCUGGAUUUUACUAUAAUCAAAAGAGAAGUUACAGCACAGCUUUGCCUUGAUUCCACAGUGUAGAUGUUCUACCACACCUCCUCAAGGUCUCUCACAAAUAUAGACUCUCUUUUGUAUACAAGUAAUCGCUCAAGAGAUUUAUCUAAACAAAUGGGAGCUUCAGACUUUGGAAUUUUUCUAUCGCGCACACCUCGAACAACUAAGAACGACUUCCUUAUAUACUCCUUUAUGCCAUCAUACCCGUUGGCACUUACCAAAGGAAUUCCUCCAAUCUAACCGUUGGACAUAAUCAAUUAGGAAGAUUGUUCGAGUUAUUAAAGGAACAUGUUGAUAGCCCAUCAAUCCUGUUCGCCCAUACAAUCAGGAUCUCGGUUUCCAUAAGUAGAACCUUCCAAUAAUAUAUAGAUAAUCAUCGAAUCUUCAGUCAUUGAAUCAAUCUUGAUCAAUCAAAGGAUUCUGAUAUGUCUUCUCCAGCCACGAGAUCUUCUCUAGAUGAUAAGGUUAAAUCCUGAACAAACCACUUAGUUCUGGAUAACCUUUCUUCAACGAAUUCGAGACUGUCAAUGAGGAUAGACUUUGAGUCUUGAGUCUGGCUGUCCGGAAGUCUUCAGACUUUAAACUGACAGAGUCUGCAGACUUUCAGACUAGACCGAAGGAUACGUUUUGUCAACUUCAAAACUCUUCAUGAGGAUUUCUCCAACAAAUAUCCCAAGUGAUCCUCGUGACUGGGGGCCGAAUCUUGUGGAUGAUGAUGACAAAUUAUUCAGUCAAUUUCAACCAAAAAUGGGUGUUGCGGUUGAAAAUCAAGGGAAAAGGGGAGAUUUGUUCAGAUCGAAGGAGCAAAAGGAUCUGUACUCGAAAUUAUUGAAGCGUGGGGUAAUAAACCCUAGGAGUGUUGAUUUUGAUUUUCUGGAUGCUGUGAAUAUGAACUUGAGGGAAAAGUUCAGUUAUCUUCAACUCGAAAAGUUCUGCUCUGACUCUACAGAGGCAUAUGCUGAAUUAACUGCAUAUUUCUAUUCAAAUCUAAGCUUUUUAGAUGCGAAUAGAUUCUCUUUCAGCGUUAAAGACCAAGACUAUGUUGUGGAUAUGAAUAUGCUGGCAGAUGUGUUAGAAGUCGAAAGAGGAAGAUAUCAACCAAUCAAAGUUUCCAUUGCUCGGGCCACACUUGAACUGGUGAAGGACAGGAGAACAAAUGAAAAUAUCACCUACUUAAGGAUGGGUGCAUUCAACAUCUUGCUUCACAAGAUUGUGAUUAAUUGCCUCCGACCGAAAUCAACUUCCAAGACUGAUGUUUCAAGUUCAGAGGCCAAGCUGAUGUAUGCCAUUCUCUUUGGAAAAAGGUUUUCUCUCCCUCACACUGUGAUGUUUCACAUGUAUAGAGCAAUGCUGAAGGACAGAGGUCAACUCCCUUACCCAAGCCUUGUUACGAAGUUAUUCAGACAUCUGAAUAUUCAGCCUCCACAAAUCUUUUGUGUUCGACCAUGCGAUAAUAUUGUGGUAGGACUGAAAAUGGUGACCAAAAUGCGUCUGAAGGAACUGAGCAAGGAGUUGGAGAAAUUCAAGGAGAAGACUCCUGCAAAAUCUCAUCAAAUCUCUUCUGCAGCUAAAAGAAAAGGGAAGGAGCCCAUGGUUGCUCCAUCCAAGAGAAGAAGAGCUCUCCUCGUUGAGGAUGAAGAUGAUGAGGAAGACAUCACCAUCUCUGCAUUGGCUUUGAAGAAUUUAAGUCGUCCUGUUCCACAGAAAGAAUUAGAACAAAUGACGAAAGAAGCAGAGGAGAAGGAAGAAGAAGAAAUAGAAGCUGAAAAAGAAACAGAGGAGGAAAGACCAUAAGAAGAAAGAAGAGAAGAAGGAGAACCUGAGGAACACUCUUCUCCACCUGUAGGCAUGGAAAUAGGGGGAGAUCAGCAGAAAGGAGUGAAGUCUUCAUGUCCCGAUGCAAGUGAAGGAGUCAGUCGCUCACCAGCAGACCUAGAGGAUGUUUAUGCAUCUCAGUUUCCAGAAGAAGGUCAUGAAGUUUCAUCGCCAAACCUGCGAGAUUAUGCUGAUCUACCAUCGUCUGCAUUUACUCCAUCAGAUCGAGCCGAAGCAAGUACUCAGACUGAUAAUGGAGCAGAUUUUCGCAGAAUCAUGGAUAUUCUCUUGGAGAUGCGAGGUCAAAUUUAUGCCUUGGGAUGCGAAGUUCAAAGCUUGAAGAAUGAAGGUCAAGCUUCUUCCUGUUCAGUGAAUGAUAAAAUGCAAGCCCUCUCUGUUCAGAAUCAGGCCAAUGCCAAGAGUGAGGAGAUUGCACAACUAAAGGAAGACUUUAAAAGGCUGGAAGGCAUCGUUCAGUCUAUGGAAGAUUUCCAGCUUGUCCGCGUUCCCAAGCAAUCUUGACUUCAUCUCAUCCUUUUUAAUGAUGACAAAAAGGGGGAGAGAUGCAAGAUUUGAUCAAAAAAAUUUCAUUCAUUAAACUUUUAAUUGUUUGUUGGAUUGUUUUGUGGUUUAAACUCUGUUUGACUUUGUUUUGUGUCUGGAUGAGAACUGAACUAGACUUGGACUUGACUACUUCUAUUAACCAAUAUUGAUAUCUUAUGAAUGGCUUCAUCAUAUACUGGACUAACCUAUUUUCUGUGGUUGCAGAUCCUAGUGUUAUUCUGUUAGCCAUUUAUCUCUAUAAGAUAUGCAUAUGUGUUUGAGAAAUGUUUUGCAGGUCAAAGAUAUCCAAAUCUGCAGGAAAGUUUUGUCACCAUAAAAAAGGGGGAGAUUAUUGGAGAAAUCUUCUUGAAGUGUUUUGAAGUUGACAAAACGUUUCUAUCAGUCUAGUCUGAAGGCUUGCAGACUCUGCUAUUUAAAGUCUGAAGACCUCCAGACAGCCAGACUCAAGACUCAAAGUCUAUCCUCAUUGACAGUCUCUAAUCCGUUGAAGAAAGGUUAUCCAGAACUGGAUGUUUCGUUAAGGAUUUAACCUUAUCAACUGGAGAAGAUCUCGUGGCUGGAGAAGACAUAACAGAGUCCUUUGAUUGAUCUAAGAUUGACUCGAUAAUUGAAGAUCCGGUGAUUGCCUAAAUAUUAUUGGAAGGUUCUGCUUAUGGAAACCGAGAUCCUGAUUGUAUGGGCGAACAUGAUUGAUGGGCUAUCAACACGUUCCUUUAAUAGCUUGAACAAUCUUCCUAAUUGAUUCCGUCCAACGGGUAGAUUGGAGGAAUUCCUUUGAUAAGUGCCAACGGGUAUGAUGGCAUAAAGGAGUAUAUAAGGAAGACUGUCUUAGUUGUUCAAGGUGUGCGCGAUAGAAGAAUUCCAAAGUCUGAAGCUCCUUUUUUGUUUAGACAAAUCCUUUGAGCGAAUACUUGUAUACGAAAGAGAGAGUCUAUAUUUGUGAGAAAUCUUGAGGAGGUGUGGUAGAACAUCUACACUGUGGAAUCAAGGCAAAGCUGUGCUGUAACUUCUCUUUUGUUCAUAGUGGAAUCCAGCCAAUAGGCUGUUAGUGAAGAAGAGUGGACGUAGGCUUGAUAUAAGCCGAACCACUAUAAACUGCGUGUUCAAUUUUCUCUUCUCUCAGUCUUACUUUGAUUAUCGUUUCCAUCAACUGUCUAGUAUUGUGCAAUUGUUGAAGAAAAAUCCUCUAUAUACCUAUUCACCCCCCUCUAGGUACUCAUACUAGCAAUAUCACCAUCUUCUUCCGGACACGCGUGUCAAAACAUGUUGAGAAACGUUGACUGCGUGUCCGACCGUGUCCGACACGCUUUGACACGUGUCGGACAUGACAUAGAAGCAUGGGGAACAUGUCUGUGUUUCAUAGGGAGGGACGUGGGGAUUGGGGACAUUACAAGUAUAUUUUGGUGGGAAAAAUAAUCUAAUUGUUGGUUCAACUUCUAAACCAAUCUCAUUUUCUUUUGUUCAACAACAAGAUGGAGAAGACUCCAAAAAGGUAUCUUGCCACUUCUGGGCUUUCUAAGCCUGUAACUAUCAGCUGUGCUAGAUUUCUCAGCUACGCGGGAAAAAGAAACGAAAGGAGAUGGUUCAUGAUUUCACUCUAUGUACAAUAGUAGGACGAAGUCCGGAGUUUUGGUUGAAGAAGUCAAUAAUUUAAGGAUAAAAAUCUAAGUUUUGUCAGCGAUCAUUGUACAUGAAAUGCAUACUCAUCUAAAACUUGUCUAAAUUUAUUAAGUGCAUUUAAUAAAUUCAUUAACCUUCUCUUAAGUUUUCCGUUCCCUUUCUCUAUUAUAUCCAUUCACGUGCACUCAAUACUUUUCAAUUUUCAUGUAUCCAUUUGCAUGCUAGAGUUAAGGACGAUGGUCACUUACAUUCAAUUUGUUUUUUUUUUUUUUUGGGUAUGCCUGGCCUUUUUUUCACCUAUAAGAGGGUAGAAUAUUUGUUAUUCUGGUCUUUAUGUGCAUUUCAUCUCCUUUUUUUCUCCUCAGAAAUGGGUCUUAGUUGCAAAAUUAAUUCAUCAGAAAUCGAUUUUUCUUUUUCCAAUUUGAUCUUGACUUGCUAUUGAAUGGAUAAUCGGUUAUCAUCACUCCCAAUUAGAUUAGAAAUAUGACUACAUCUCAAUAUAUCAAUUUACAUCCGAACUGUAAAAAAUGAGACUCGGCAAUAAUCUAUUUCUUAUGUAUGGAUCAUCUUUCCUACUGGUAUCUCGAAAAGCAAAUGAUUUUUUUUUUUUGGCAUAAACAUUUUUGUUGAGUGUCUUAAAAAAUUAACUACAUUUAAAAAUGCAGCAAAAAUACAAAGAGAUAAGAGGAAUGGUGAGGGAUUUUGAUUUCACAUGAAUUAGCAAAAACGAUUGAGAACUUAUGAGCUGAAACUUUCUUCUAUGCAAUCCAUCUUAAAUGACAAUAUAAUAGCCAACCUGGCGAGGUUUUUUUUUUUUUUUUUUACUAUUUAGGAAUUUUAUAUUAUGCUUUCCAGAUAGUAGUGUACGUAAUUGAUGAACAAACAAAAGAUCAAAAAAAUAUUUAAUAACCGACUUAAUACUACCAUAGAAGUUUCAACACAUAUCACAAAUAUGAUAUAACCAUAUUCUUGCAUGUGGUAGCUUAUUAACUAUAAAUGUAUCUAUAACACACGGGUUUGAAAACUAGUCUAAUUUAUAAUAGGGGCUUCUGAACAUUAAAUGCAUUCAAUUUAAUGAGAAACAUUCUUUUCUUAUCCAAAUUGAAGUUUUAUAUUUUUUUUUUCACUUGAAAUAGAAUUAGUCGCAGAAAAGAGUGGGAAUAUGCGAAACAAGAUUCAAGAAUAGAAAAAAAAAUGAUUUAAUAACAGUAAAGUUGACUAUGAUCUGCAUAAUAUAUUAUUUGAUAGAAAAAGUACAUAAUGACUAACAUGCAUCAAUACCAUAACAUAUAGCGAAAAAUUACUUUGGUUUAAUCAGAUACAAAAUUUAGUAAAGUAAAAAUAUUAGAGUUGAUUUUGCUUGACUAAAGAAUGAUGAUUGCUUAAAAAUGACAAUAUUUGCGCCAAAUUAAAAGGAAAAAUAAUCUACGAUAAUUCAAUUUUAAUAAAAUAUGAUAUAUAAGAUGUUUGAUGACUCAAAGUGUAUUUAUAAUUUGUAUGUAAGAUAAAUGAACCUAUCUCAGUCCAUCAUAUAAUAAGAGACGCAUUUUUCUGAUUUUUUCUUCGAUUGUUUAGAUUAUGUCACCGUUAUCACUCUAAAAUAUUAAAUUCCCAUAUUAGUUAGAAGUGAAAAAAUUGGACAAUGAAGUAACAUAGAUUUCUUCUAUUUUGAAAUAUAAAACUCUUACAAAACAUAGGGGAGUGCACUAGCUAUAUUAAAAGGAGUAAUAUUAGUAUACACUAUCGAUGUAAAAAGAUAGUUACACAAGACAUCACAAACUGUGAAGGAGUUCCAUAAUUCAUGUCACUAAAACAAACAAGUACUGUAUAGUGUUCUGAGGUAUGCUCAGACCAUUAAAAUAGAAGUAAUAAAAUACUGAAUUGCAUCAUCUUGUAUGACGACUCCAAAUUCACAUUAACGGCUCAAGGGCUAGUAGUAGCGACAGCUGUGUCCUUGGGAAUUGUGGGAACGAAAGGCAAUGUUGGCUUGGGAAAAUCAGGAAGAUGAGGCAAUUCAGGCACUUCUGACAAUUCCGGCUUCGGUAUUGUUGGAAAUUCAGGCUUGGGUAGCUCAGGAAGCGAUGGCAAUUCGACUUUCGGUAGUGAUGAGAAUUCCGGCUUUGGCAAGCUAGGGAUGUCAGGAAGUUGAGGCAAUUCGGGCUUCGGCAAUUCCGGCACUUUUAACAACUCUGGCUUUGGUAUUGCUGGAAAUUCAGGCUUUGGCAGUUCAGGAAGCGGCGGCAAUUCGACUUUUGGCAAUGAUGGGAAUUCGGGCUUUGGCAAGCUAGGGAUGUCAAGAAGGUGAGGUAAUUCAGGCUUUGGCAAUUCGGGCACUUCAGGCAAGGUCGCCUCCAAAAGUUGGCGAGCUCUGACUGGGUUCUCACCAAUCGUCAAAGACAGAGCGAGGACAAACAAUGCCAAAAGGUGCGCGAGUCCAUGAUGGUUCGUCAUUGGAGAAUCAAUCGACUAGCAAAUUCAAAAGCUUUGAGUGAAGAAGCGGCGAAUCUCAAGUGAGAGAAGGUGCAGGUGUGCUUGAGCAAUGGCUUGAUGUAGGGCUUAUAAGGAGGAGGGACGUGGGGGAUUGGGGAGAUUGCAAGUAUGGUUUGGUGGGAAUAUUAUCAAAGGGUUAGGUCAACUUCUAAACCAGUCUCAAUUUUGUACGUUAAACAGCAAGAUGGAGGAUAUUAUUCCAAAGAGGAGCUUGCCAAUUCUUGGCUUUUCAAGCUUCUGACUACCUGUCGAGGCGAGAAAGAGAGAGAGAAAAGAAAAGAAAAGAAAGGAAAUGGUUUAUGAUCUCAUUAUGUAUAACAGGACCGGAGUCUUGGGGACUUAGAAGCUUAGAGAAGUCAAUAAAGUAAGAGCAAACAAGUAAAUGUUGUCCGUGAUCAUUAUUCGUGGAAUCUUUACUUGAUGUAAGGAUUACUUAAGCGGUCAGCAUGUAUCUUUUGAUUCGGGGCCUAGGUUCGAAUCCCUACAAUUGUGUACUCUUUUGGACGAUCCUUGAGAGCAUAUACAUGUAUGAAUCCGAUAAUUUCUUGAUUUGUGUGGGAUCAAACUACUCUUGCUGGAAAAAAUAAAAUAAAAAGAAAACAAAAAACAAAACUUUGGGUGACAAUUUUUUAGGGACAGACAUAAAAAGAGAUUCCUAAAUAGAGCUUCUAGCUUGGGGUGAAUUCUAAGGUUGGUCUAGGUUUCAACCUAUCUAGAACAUGGAAUUUACCCCGUUAAGACCGGUUUCCCAUUUUUGGAAUUUGAAACCUAUCAUAUAUAUCUUAAAACUUGUGACUUGCUCUAUCAAUUGGAUCCAAAGUCUAUCAAGAGUCGGCCGAUUUCUCUUCUUUCUUUCUUUUUUCUGUUUUUUUGGUUUCAUUUUAGUCAAGCAAAAUGAGAGUGAACAUAACAACAAAAAUCAUCGUUUGUCAAUAACAAUAAUCUAUAAAAUAUGAACACCUAAAAUAAAAUAAAUAAAUAAAAGUUCAAAAUGCGUAAAAAGAUUCAAAAACCACGAUAAAAACCAAGGAGUCACAAUCGAAUGAAGGAACUUUCUUUCAUUCAAGCCUCAUGUAAUACCGUGCAUGUUAUGCUCUAUUUUAGGAUUACUUGGUUCCUGUUCUAGUUCUUUGAUUUUCAGUCCAAUUCGUUGGUUCUCAGUUCAAUUCUAUUCAAUUCUUAAGAGGAAAUCGGGAAUUUGAAUCACAUAGUACAAGUUCCAAAAAAUAUGAAUUCGGAAAUCGGACCAUUCCCGUUAGAACCUAGAUGCAUGCUGAUUCCCAUGGCAUGUUUGGUCUUUCCUGAUUAUACCUGCUCACCCUCAACUUCUAGUUCCAUUCCUAUGGAAACAUUGAAGGAGCUGUCAUUAAUGAUAGGGGUGUAAAUAGUUUGGUUCGGUUUGGUUUUUUUUAAAAACCGAACCAAAUCAAAUCAAUAAGGAAAUUUAUUGAAUCGAACUGAAAUUCGAUUCAAAUGAAAACUGAACCGAACUUGGAUUUUACUUUUGUUUUGUUUUCUCCCUGGCCCUUUCAAUAAAUUUUUAUUUUUUAGAAAAAUCAUUUUUAAUUAUAUUUAAUUCUUUUUCUUUUUCUUCUUCUUCUUCUUCUUUUUCAUUGGCUGGUCGCUGAUGACCACCGUAGGCGGCAACUAGCCAAUGAAGAAGAAAAAGACGAAAAAGAAGAAAAACCAAAAAUGAUUAAUUAAAAAAAUAAAAUGAAUUUUUUUAAAAUUUUAUUGGUUUGAUUCAGUUAACCAAAUUGAUAUAAUUAAAAUCAAACCGAAUGAUAACAAAAUCGAGAAAAAUCAAACUUUUUAGUUCAAUUCGGUUUGAUUCAGUUCGGUUUUUGACACUCCUAAUUAAUAGGCUAGCGGAUAAAUCAACAUGAAAACUUCAAGGGAAAUCCCAACCUGAAAUAAGAAAAGCGAAGCCCAUCGCAAAAAGAGAAGCCCAGCCCAACUCACACUCUGAUUUUCUCCCGGCCUCUCCCUCUCCCACUCUGCCCUGCAAAAGCUCAGCUCGAAUUUCUCUCGGUCUCUCCAUCGCACCCCAGCUGCAGCUCGUCGAUCUCGCGGACGAGAGCGUCUUCGGACCAGGAUUCCCCGUCGGCUUUCUUCUUCACGGUCUCCGCAGGUCACUGUUGUUGCCUCCCUCUCUCUCUCUCUCUCUCUCUUUCUUUCUCGCGCAUUUCACUGGCCAAUGUGGGGAAACCAUUCGCGAAGCGGUGGACUUGGGCGGAUGUUUCGAUCGUGGGUUGUGGGAGUUACCGGGUCGGGUCCUUCGUUUCCCCUUAUCUUGUCACUUUUGGGGGGGCAUAGCUCAUCUGGGUUGCUCAUGCCAGAGAGCUAACCCGGCGUGGUUGUAGGCGGUUCGGUGUCUUGUGAGUCCCUGCCCACCUUGUGUUUGCCAUAAUGUUUCGCUGGAUUUAUGCGGAGCAGGAGGAGAGUUGUCCCUUGCAUUGGAUUCCUCCGUGUGUUGGGAGUGAAAUUUAAAAGAACAGGCUUCGAGAACGUCUUGACUUUGCAUACGUGGAAAUGUGAUGAAGAUAAUUCGUGCGAAAGUUUUCAUGAAUAUUGUAAGGGAUGUUCUAUGAUGUGGAAGGUAGCGCAUUCCCAUUACCCUUGUGAUGGGAUCGCCUUUAUGUUUUGAUGUGAACUAAUAUUUCGUUCAACUCUAUAUGUUGCAUGAAAGGUGGUAAACCCAUUGUCAAACAAUGACGAAAUCUCCGCCCCUUUGCUCUCAAUAAGUUAUGUAAAUGUCAUUUGAGGGUUCUGAUGGUGAGGUUCUUGUUUUCAGUUUCAAACUCUGAAUGAAAGCACGUCCACAUCAUCAUCAUCUAUGUCGUUGAUUAGGCGCCUAACUCCAUCCUUUGCUGGUCACACUCAAGAGAACCAUAGGCUUUUGAGCCCUUCUUCUUCUUCAGUGUUUCAUGGAGCCUUUUCUACUGCAUCGCAGUCUCUAGAUGAUGCACACACAAAGGAUGGUAACAUGCGGGUACAUUCUUUCUUGAUAUCCUCAAGAAAACUAUUCACUUAAGAAACAUAUAUUGGUGUGUUAUGUCAUAUGCUCUUGGUGCCAAACAUAUUAUUUUGUUACCUUCAAACUCUGAUUGCUUUACUGUGCAUUCUGAAUUAUUCUUCUUCAUUUUCUCUGUUAUUGGAUCCAAUUCGUUUUACACUGUCUGCUUGUCAUAACUUGAGGAAUGAAAACUUUCCUUGUUUAAAUGGUACAAAGACAAAAGAAAUGGAGGGAGAAUAGAAGAAAAUUUAGAUUCCUUCGAGGACCACAAAACACAUUCUCCCAAAGAUGGGGAGGAAAUGAAAGGAAAUGCUUCCAAGACCCCUCUUGUUUCCUAUUGCUCUUAUUUUUUUGUAAAAUAGGGAAUUAUAUUUGACAAAAGUUAUUUUAGUCUAUUAAUUUCUUUUAUAUCCCUCAUAGCCUUUUAUUUUGACAUAUAUACAGGUCAAUUAGUCUUUGUCUAGUCAUUUUGUCGGAGAAGAUAAAUGUUUUGGAAUGAAGUUAUAAAAUCAUAAGUCGGGUCGGGGUGAUGUGAAAAUUAGUUCCAAGAGUUUCUCACUGUGCUUUGGAAACCGAAAUGAGAGAAAUCCUAUAAUCAUAUUUUGGUUAGUAGCUUCGUGGCAAUGAACAUAGUAAGCAUUAAAUUUCCAUUUGCCAAUUCACAUGGACAACCAACUUAAUCCAUCAAUAAGGUCGAAUUUGGCAUUUGAUGGAUAUUGGAUCUCAUUUGGUUGAGCUGUAUUGCCAAUUUCAGGUGAAUCUCUUCCUUGUAAUUUCCCUAAUGGUUUCUAUGUGUCUACUUUCAGGUGAAGCCACCAUCAAAGAAUCUCCCUCAAAUUGUAAAACCCACUCCCAGACCUCUUCAACCAUCUUCUUCACCACCUCCCUCUCUUCUCUCAGACCUCAAGCUGCCCUCUCUAUCUCCAUUACCAACCCUGACUCUCUCUAUAACCAAUCAUGAUAAUCUGAUGAACUUUCUUAAGUCUAAACUCUCUUUCCCUCUCACACCCAGGAGUCUCCUCCACUUCCUCAAGUGCAAACUCCACCCCAACCCUCAUUUGACCCUCUAUGACUUUUAUAUAUUCAGUUGGGCCUCCACGAUUGACUCCUAUCGCCAUGACCACUCAACAUUUGAGUGGAUGGCUCGCACUCUCGCUAUUUCAAGCCGUUUCGCGCAACUCAAUUCACUUCUCCAGUUCAUGGCCUCAAACCCUUGCCCUUGCUCUGAUGGAAUUUUCUCAUGCCCCAGGACAGAGCCAAUCUUUCAAUUCUCAAUAGAAGCUUAUUGCAGAGCUCAGAAACUAGAGGAAGCAGUGAUUGCUUUUGAGAGUAUGGAGAAGAUGAUUGAUGGCAGGCCGAGUGCGGUGAGUUAUAAUGCUUUGAUUCAUGGAUUUGUGAAAUGGGGUGACCAUGCCAGGGCUCUGGCCAUCUAUGAUCAAAUGAUAAGGAACAGAGUCAAGCCUAAUGUGAUAACCUUUAAUAUCUUGAUUAGUAGUUAUUGUAGAAGUUCACAGUUUGGAUUGGCUUUGGAGGUGUUUAAGGAGAUGAAGGAGAAGGGUUGCAGCCCAGAUGUGGUCAGUUUCAAUACUUUGAUCAGGGGGUUUUUUCGGGAGAGGAAGUUUGAGGAUGCGAUCGCAAUGGCUUAUGAGAUGAUCGAACUGGGGUGCCAGUUGUCGAGUGUGACUUGUGAGAUUUUGGUCGAUGGCCUAUGUAGGGAAGGUAAAGUGGCUGAGGCAUGUGAAUUGCUGAUUGGUUUUUCAAGUAAAAGAGUGUUGCCUGAGGAGUAUGAUUAUUUUGGCCUUGUGGAAGCUUUGUGCAGUUCAGGCAAUUCUCAUAGAGCACUUGAUGUUGUUACUGAUCUGUGGAAGACAGGGAAUAUUCCAAGCUUGAUUGCUUGUACUACUUUGGUGGAAGGAUUGAGGAAGCAGAAGAAAAGGGAAGAAGCACUUGCUUUGAUGGAAAAUAUGCUUAAAGAAGGUAUUGUACCAGACAUUGUGACGUUUAAUUGUUUGCUUGAGGAUCUUUCUGAUAUAGGGAAGACUGUGGAAGCAAACAAAUUGAGGUUGUUGGCGCAAAGCAAGGGUUUGGAACCAGAUGGCAUGAUGUACAGGAUUCUGGUAUCUGGUUUUACAAGAGAAAGAAAGAGAAAGGAGGGCCAGAUUCUGGUAGAUGAGAUGUUAGACAAGGACUUUAUACCUGAUCUUGCAACGUACAAUAGAUUGAUUGAUGGACUUUCAAACUCAAAAAUUACUUCUAGGAAGAAAGGUUGAAGAUGGGUUAGGAUCUUAUUCUUUUCACCUUGGUUUCUGGAAUGCUGGCAUCUGUUUGCAAACCCCCUCAUGCUUUGUGCUUGGUUUGCCAAUCAGUUUUAUCACUUUGGGACAAAGCCGGUUUAGGCUACGUUUCAGAUGGUUGAGGACAAUGUACAGCCUGGGAGCGAGCAGAACAGAUAAUGGUACGUGCACAAAACAACGAGUGGAAAGGAAUGGAAACUUCGCAUUGAGUUGUACGAAUUGUAAAGCCAGGAGAGUAGAUUGUGAUGCUCAGCAAGAGAUGAUGCGGAUGAGUAGUGCCCAGACGACAUCUAGGAGGUAUGAAUCAUGGUAACAGUGAUAAGUAUUAAUCCUAAGAUAUGAGAGAGUUGGAAAGUUUGAGUGACUGAGAAUAGUUUAUUUGGAUUAUGUUUAUAUAUAGACAUAAAAGCUGCAGAAGAUCAACAUUGAAUUUUCUGGCAGAUCUCAAACUGACACCAAAUCUAAUGAGGAAAAGCUUAGGGUAGAAAAUUCAUGCAAAUUCUGAAUUGGGCUCUGCUAUAUAUAUGAUAUAACUUGUGUGAGAUGGACCCUGGCAAAGAGAUUUCUUAGGAUUGAAAGUAAUGCAGAAAAGAGAAGGCAAGAGCCAAAGCUGUUAAAACAAAGUAUAAAAUCAUAAACUAUCAGGUUGGCAAAGCUGUCAAGUACUCGAUGUUGAUAGAACAAAUUAGGCACUUUACAUUUGGUUUGGUGGUGACACUGCCCUAUUAAUGCCCUUUUUCUGUGCUCCUCAUCGAUGAAUCAGUUGAUGAGAAAAAUAAUCCCCUAACUUCAUAAAUUCGGUAAGACAAAAACUCCAUGUGUGGCUCAAAUAUAAGAUUGUUUGAACUUGAUGAUAUAAUCGGUAUGCAUUAUCCAUGUAUACAUAUCUUUCUUUGUUCAGUGGGUGCAAGUCCUGCCAUUAAACUUUAGUUUUACAUUUUAUUAAAUGUAACACCAUAAAAAAGUUUUAUCUCACUAAAAAGCUCUGGACCCUCUAGAUUACCAAAUUAAGACGACUCGUUUCAACUUUUUAACAGAGGAUAGAUUCAAAUCACAGCACUUGUUUUGGAUUUUUCUUUAUGAGACGAAAAUUAGUAUUUUGGAUUUUUGUUAGGCUAAAAUUUUCGAGUAAACGUAUCAUGAGAGCACAAAAAAAUUUUGGGGGGAGGGGGGGGGGGGGGGAAGUAAAUCUACAUAACAAACAUCACUUCAUAUCACAAACUGUCAUAAUCAAGUACAUGUAUAGGAUCUGAGGCAUGCUUAGAUCAUUACAAUAGACAGGGAUAACAUUAGUGAAUCACGUGAUAGUAUAGCCCAAUGGCGAACUCGCUACAUAGCUUCAAGGUGUAGUAGUGAAAACAGACAUGUCUUUCGGAAUUGUGGGAACAAAUGGUAGCGUUGGCUUAGGGAAAUCGGGGAAAUGAGGUAGUUCGAGCACUUUUGGUAAUUAUGGCUUCGGUAUUGUUGGUAAUUCAGGCUUUGGAAGUUCAGGAACCGACGGCAAUUCAACUUUUGGCAAAGAUGGCAAUUCUGGCUUGGGUAGGCUCGGAAUGUCGGGAAGGUGAGGCAAUUCGGGCUUAGGUAAUUCAGGCACUUCAGGCACUUCAGGCAAUUCUGGCUUGGGCAAGCUCACAAUGUCGGGAAGAUGAGGCAAUUCGGGUUUGGGCAGUUCAGGCACUUCUGGUAAUUCUGGUUUUGGUAUUGUUGGUAAUUCAGGCUUUGGAAGUUCAGGAACCGACGGCAAUUCAACUUUUGGCAAAGAUGGCAAUUCUGGCUUGGGUAGGCUCGGAAUGUUGGGAAGGUGAGGCAAUUCAGGCUUAGGUAAUUCAGGCACUUCAGGCAAUGCUAACUUCAAAAGUUGGCGAGCUUCAACAGAAUUCUCGCCGAUCAUCAAGGACAGAGCAAGGACAAACAAUCCCAAAAUGUGCACAAACCUGUGAUAGUUUGCCAUGAUGGAAUUGACUAGCGAAAUGAAGAACUUCGAUGGUGAGGAGCUAUGAAUCUCAAGUGAAGAUGGUGGCGGUGUGUUUGAGGGAUGGCUUGGUUGGGGUUUUUAAAGAGGGGGACGUGGAGAUUAGGGAGAUUGCAAGUAUGUUUUGGUAGGAAAACUAGCAGAGUGUUAGCUCAACUUCGAAACCAAUUUCAUUUCCAUAUGUUCAACACGAUUUGAGCAAAUUAAACAAUCCCAGAAUGAUCUUGCCAACUCUAGGCUUCAAAAGCAUGUAAUGUAACCAUCAGCUGUAUUAUUUUGGUUAGAAAAAAGCCAAAAAGAAUCUUACUCUGCACAAGUAUGUUUUCUUUUCAAUUUUUUCUCACUAACUUAAUUUUUGACUUACAUUCAGUGGACCAAGUUGAAAAGGGUCAUUUAAACUUAUAUAAAAUAGAUUUAAAAUGGUUAAGAAAAACAAACCCAACUAGAUGUGGACUUUAAUGGUUCGGACCAAAUUCAUUUUAAUCAAACGAAAUAAAGAAUCGGCAAUAAAAAAUACAAGACAGGUCAUCUUGGGUUUUAAUGGAUUGGGAUUGAACUCAUUUGAUUCAAAUAAUAGAUUUCGAUUGAACUCAUUUGAUUCAAACUAAGAAAAUUAAGAGGAGAGGAGAGGGAUAUCACGUUUACUUUCCUUCCUUCUAUUUGCAUGUGGGAAAACACCAAAAAAGUUAUAAAUAUAUUGUAUUUGUGUCAAUUAUGUUAUAAAUAUAUUGCAUUGUGUCAAUUCAAUCUUAGGCCGUUUAAUUAGAUUAAUUUGUCCUAAAUAUUUUGUUGGUGCCAACUAGUUCACGUGGACGCUUGUCAUAUAGCUGACACUAACAUUAACAUUUUUAAUAAUUUUUAAUAUUUUUUAAUUUUUUAAUUUCUUUUUCUUCCUUUGAUUUGGCCAGCCGGAGGAGAAGGCAUUCGUGCCCUUGUUUGCAGCCAGCUGCGAGUAAGGGUGUAAGAAGUCCCUCGCCCAAGCCCCACCCAAAUUGACCCUCAAGAAUGGUUAGGCCCUAACCGGCCAAAAUGGAAGAAAGAAAAAUAUAAACAAUAAUUCACAAAAAUUAAAUUGAAAAAAUUAUCCAUGUAAGGACCAAUCAUGCUACAUAGGAUGGCUAGUUAGCAAUUUUCAGCCAAAUUUGAUCAAAUAAACUGAAUUGACACAAACGUAAAUAAUUUAAAAUAAAAUUGGUUCAAUUGAAAGAUUUAUGAUUGAAUUAGUCAUAAUACAAUAAGUAUAUAUAUAUUUUUUUAAAUUCUCCGCGCCAGAACAUAGAGGUGUCAAAAUGGGUCAUUAACCCAUUUAUGUUUAAAUGGGUCGUUAAUGGGUCAAGCCUAUUUCCUAAAGCACCUAUAAUGAGUUUUAAUGGGUUAAGACUGAGAUAUAUGAGUUAAGACCAAUUUAUCAACCCAUUGAAAAUGAAAUUAUUUAUUUUCACCCAAAAACUCACAAUUUCUAUCUUCUCUAUUUAACUUUACAAAAAUAUUUUUUUAAAAGAAACCAAAAUUAUAAUUAUUUUUUUAUUUUUUAUUUUUUCUUUCUUUUUCUUCAUCUAGUCGCUGGCACGGCGAUGGCCGGCGACCGGCCAAGCAAGAGCCUCGCCAAUCUGGCGAGACUCAAACUUGCCGGCGUCAAGCGAGGCUCGAGCUUGAGCUCGCUAGACGCCGACAAGCCUCAAGCUCGCCAGAUCUGGUGAGGCAAAGGCCCCGCUGACAUUCGGCGACGCUUGAGUCUUGCUAGAUCUAGCGAGGGGUGAGCUCAAGCUCGCUCGACGCCGGCAAGCCUCGAGCUUGCCAAAUCUGGCGAGGGGCGAGCUCAAGCUCGCUCAACGCCGGUGAGCCUCGAGCUCACCGGAUCCGGCAAGGUAGAGGCCUCACCAACAUCGACGAGCCAGGCGAGCUCCUGGUCGCCUGUGGCCGGCCGCCGGCUGUCGUCAUGGCCGGCGGCCGGCCAAAGAAGAAGAAGAACAAAAAAUAAAAUUUAAAAUUUAAAAUUAUAUUUAAAAAAUAAAAAUAAAUAAAAAAUUAAUUUAAAAAAUAAAAAAUAAUUAAAAUUCGAUUUUUUAAAAUAUAUUUUUAAAAAAUUAUAAAAUUUGUCCAUUAAAUUUGCGUUGUAUAAAAUUAUUUUAGCAAUACUAUAAUAUAUAUAAGCUUUCUUAAGUUUAGUUAAAUGGGUCGGGUAUGGAUAGGGUAUGAGUCAACAAAUUUGUAUUGUAAUAAUUGGUCAUAAACAGAUUAAAUGGGUCGAUUUGGGUUGGACCAUUUAUGACCCAACCAAAACCCGACUCGACCCACCUGUUUAACGGGUAUACCAGAACAUCAAUGACAAUGUUGCUACCGCCACUAGGCAACAACCAUCGGAUAAUAGAAGACCCAGCAAUGUUGUCAUAGUUAGCAUUAUCAACAUUCUCGUUGGUGUUAGCCUCAACAAAAGAACAAAGCACCAUGAUCGCGGUGCCCAUCAUGAACUUCAUUGUCAUUGGGUAUUAGGGAAAUCCCUUAGGAUGUUUUAAAAAAGAUAAAAUAAAUCAAAGGUUAAUAAUGUGUUUAAUAAGAAUUUUUUUUUUUUUUUUGUAAAAUAGGGAGGGGGGGGGAAAUGAAAGGAAAUGCUUGCAAGACCCCUCUUGUUUCCAAUUUCUCUUUUUUUUUUGUUGUAAAAUAGGGAAUUAUUUUCAACAAAAGUUAUUUUAGUCUAUUAAUUUCUUUUAUAUCCCUCAUAGCCUUUUAUUUUGACAUAUAUACAGGUCACUUAGUCUUUGUCUAGUCAUUUUGUCCGAGACGAUAAAUGUUUUGGAAUGAAGUUAUAAAAUCAUAAGUCGGGUUGGGGUGAUGUGAAAAUUAGUUCCAUGAGUUUCUCACCGUGCUUUGGAAACCGAAAUGAGAGAAAUCCUAUAAUCAUAUAUUGAUUAGUAGCUUCGUGGCAAUGAACAUAGUAGCAUUAAAUUCCCAUUUGCCAAUUCACAUGGACAACCAACUUAAUCCAUCAAUAAGUUCGCAUUUGGCAUUUGAUGGAUAUUGGAUCUCAUUUGGUUGAGCUGUAUUGCCAAUUUCAGGUGAAUCUCUUCCUUGUAAUUUCCCUAAUGGUUUCUAUAUGUCUACUGUCAGGUGAAGCCACCAUCAAAGAAUCUCCCCAAAAUUGUAAAACCCACUCCCAGACCUCUUCAACCAUCUUCUUCACCACCUCCCUCUCUUCUCUCAGACCUCAAGCUGCCCUCUCUAUCUCCAUUACCAACCCUGACUCUCUCUAUAACCGAUCAUGAUAAUCUGAUGAACUUUCUUAAGUCCAAACUCUCUUUCCCUCUCACACCCAGGAGUCUCCUCCACUUCCUCAAGUGCAAACUCCACCCCAACCCUCAUUUGACCCUCUAUGACUUUUAUAUAUUCAGUUGGGCCUCCACGGUUGACUCCUAUCGCCAUGACCACUCAACAUUUGAGUGGAUGGCUCGCACUCUCGCUAUUUCAAGCCGUUUUGAGCAACUCAAUUCGCUUCUCCACUUCAUGGCCUCAAACCCUUGCCCUUGCUCUGAUGGAAUUUUCUCAUGCCCCAGGACAGAGCCAAUCUUUCAAUUCUCAAUAGAAGCUUAUUGCAGAGCUCGGAAACGAGAGGAAAGCAGUGAUUGCUUUUGAGAGUAUGGAGAAGAUGAUUGAUGGCAGGCCGAGUGCGGUGAGUUAUAAUGCUUUGAUUCAUGGAUUUGUGAAAUGGGGUGACCAUGCCAGGGCUCUGACCAUCUAUGAUCAAAUGAUAAGGAACAGAGUCAAGCCUAAUGUGAUAACCUUUAAUAUCUUGAUUAGUAGUUAUUGUAGAAUAUUACAGUUUGGAUUGGCUUGGUGGUGUUUAAGGAGAUGAAGGAGAAGGGUUGCAGCCCAGAUGUGGUCAGUUUCAAUACUUUGAUCAGGGGGUUUUUUCGGGAGAGGAAGUUUGAGGAUGCGAUCGCAAUGGCUUAUGAGAUGAUCGAACUGGGGUGCCAGUUGUCGAGUGUGACUUGUGAGAUUUUGGUCAAUGGCCUCUGUACGGAAGGUAAAGUGGCUGAGGCAUGUGAAUUGCUGAUUGGUUUUCCAAGUAAAAGAGUGUUGCCUGAGGAGUAUGAUUAUUUUGGCCUUGUGGAAGCUUUGUGCAGUUUAGGCAAUUCUCAUAGAGCACUUGAUGUUGUUACUGAUCUGUGAAAGACGGGAAAUAUUCCAAGCUUGAUUGCUUGUACUACUUUGGUGAAAGGGUUGAGGAAGCAGAAGAAAAGGGAAGAUGCACUUGCUUUGAUGGAAAAUAUGCUUAAAGAAGGUAUUGUACCAGACAUUGUGACGUUUAAUUGUUUGCUUGAGGAUCUUUCUGAUAUAGGGAAGACUGUGGAAGCAAACAAAUUGAGGUUGUUGGCGCAAAGCAAGGGUUUGGAACCAGAUGGCAUGAUGGACAGGGUUCUGGUAUCUGGUUUUACGAGAGAAAGAAAGAGAAAGGAGGGCCAGAUUCUGGUAGAUGAGAUGUUAGACAAGGACUUUAUACCUGAUCUUGCAACGUACAAUAGAUUGAUUGAUGGACUUUCAAACUCAAAAAUUACUUCUAGGAAGAAAGGUUGAAGAUGGGUUAGGAUCUUAUUCAUUUCAACUUGGUUUCUGGAAUGCUGGCAUCUGUUUGCAAACACCCUCAUGCUUUGUGCUUGGUUUGCCAAUCAGUUUUAUCACUUUGGGACAAAGUGGGUUUAUGGCUAUGUUUCAGAUGGUUGAGGACAAUGUACAGCCUGGGAGCGAACAGAACAGAUACUGGUACGUGCACAAAACAACGAGUGGAAAGGAACGGAAACUUCGCAUUGAGUUGUACGAAUUGUAAAGCCAGGAGAGCAGAUUGUGAUGCUCAGCAAGAGAUGAUGCGGAUAAGUAGUGCCCAGACGACAUCUAGGAGGUAUGAAUCAUUGUAACGGUGAUAAGCAUUAAUCCUAAGAUAUGAGGGAGUUGGAAAGUUUGAGUGACUGAGAAUAGUUUAUUUGGAUUAUGUUUGUAUAUAGACGUGAUUAAUAAUGAUACCAAUGAGCGUGUAUAUUAUAAAAGCUGCAGAAGAUCAACAUUGAAUUUUCUGGCAGAUCUCAAACUGACACCGAUUAAUCUAAUGAGGAAAAGCUUAGGGUAGAAAAUUCAUGCAAAUUCUGAAUUGGGCUCUGCUAUAUAUAUAUGAUAUAACUUGUGUGAGAUGGACCCUGGCAAAGAGAUUUCUUAGGAUUGAAAGUAAUGCUGAAAAGAGAAAGCAAGAGCCAAAGCUGUUAAAACAAAGUAUAAAAUCAUAAACUAUCAGGUUGGCAAAGCUGUCAAGUACUCGAUGUUGAUAGAACAAAUUAGGCACUUUACAUUUGGUUUGGUGGUGACACUGCCCUAAUAAUGCCCUUUUUCUGUGCUCCUCAUCGAUGAAUCGGUUGAUGAGAAAAAUAAUCCCCUAACUUCAUAAAUUCGGUAAGACAAAAACUCCAUGAGUGGCUCAAGUAUAAGAUUGUUUGAACUUGAUGAUAUAAUCGGCAUGCCUUAUCCAUGCAUACAUAUCUUUAGUGUGUGCAAGUGCUGCCAUUAAACUUUAGUUUUACAUUUUAUUAAAUGUAACACCAUAAAAAAGUUUUAUCUUGCUAAAAAGCUCUGGACCCUCUAGAUUACCAUAUUAAGACGACUCGUUUCAACUUUUUAACAGAGGAUAGAUUCAAAUCACGGCACUUGUUUAGGAUUUUUCUUUAUGAGACGAAAAUUAGUAUUUUGGAUUUUUGAUAGGCUAAAUUUUUGGAGUAAAUGUAUCAUGAGAGCACAAUUUUUUUUUUGUUUUUGGGGGAGGGGGGUUGGGUUUUGAGACGAAAAUUAGUUUGAGGUACAUGUAUCGUAGGAUACGAAUUUGGGAUUUUUAGUCAUAUUAACCCUUGGCAUAAUGAUAUAUACAUAUAUAUAUUUAUGUAAUUUUGGAUGUCAAACACCAAAUUUAUCCUUCUUUAUGAUUUCUUAAAGUAAAUCUACAUAACAAACAUCACUUCAUAUCACAAACUGUCAUAAUCAAGUACAUGUAUAGGAUCCGAGGCAUGCUCAGAUCAUUACAAUAGACAGAGACAACAUUAGUGAAUCACAUGAUAGUGUAACCCAACAGCGAACUCGCUACAUAGCUUCAAGGAGUAGUAGUGGAAACAGACAUGUCUUUCGGAAUUGUGGGAACGACUGGUAGUGUUGGCUUAGGGAAAUCGAGGAGAUGAGGUAGUUCGGGCACUUUUGGUAAUUCUGGCUUCGGUAUUGCUGUUAAUUCUGGCUUGGGCAAUUCAGGAAGCGAUGGCAAUUCGACUUUUGGCAAAGAUGGCAAUUCGACUUUUGGCAAAGAUGGCAAUUCAGGCUUUGGCAGUUCAGGGAGCGGCGGCAAUUCGGCUUUUGGUAG
rnacentral:lncRNA from 1 species